CAUGGGAAUCGGGUAGCGAAAUGUUGAGCACCCUCAAGUUGGGCUUCUUCAGCAUUGGGACGGCACCGUCGGUGCUUUCGUCGCAGAAGAUCUCGUACCACUCAUCGAGGAAACACCCGGUACCAAUCCCGAAGGGAAAGGGAAUGGUGACGCCACCACAUGUUGGGGGGCAAUUACCCUUCACCAGGGGAGCUGCUAGCGAGGCUUCUUCAUGAAGCAGAAGCGACCCUAGAAGCAGAAGAAUCUGAAACAUUCUUGUUCCUGCUUCUUUUCUCGGGAAAUCGUGGACCUGUUCGAGGAAUGAAUGGCGGGCGCAGCUACUUAGGGUACGUUUAGUAACAUUUAUGUUUAAAAAUUAUUCCAGGGAACAGAAAUAGAAAAAAGUGUUUCUGUUCCGAGGAACAAUUUUUGGAUAAAAAAACGCAUUUGAUAAACUUGUUCCGGGAAUAAAAAAUGAACAGAAACGUGUUUGGUAAAUUUGUGUUCUUUUUUCGUUUCUUUUAAUAUUUUUAAUAUUUUUAACAUUUUUUCUUUCUUUUUUCUUUUUUUCUUAUUUUGGCCGGUCGCCGGCCUCGGCCAUGGCCGACGAUCGGCCGACGAGGGCCGGCGGCCUCACCCAACCACGGCGAGCCCAGCCACUGGGCUCGCCGUGGUUGGGCGAGACUUGGCCUCGCCUUGGCUGGGCGAGCUCGAGCUCGCCCAAAUCCGGUGAGCCCAAGCUCUCCCAGCCUUACCCCGUGCCGGCGAGGCUCGGCCUCGCCGGGGGCUAGCGACGCUUCGGCGAGGUCGCCAGCCAUGGCCGAGGCUGGCGACUGACCAAAGAAAAAAGGAAAAAGAAAAGAAGAAAAAAAGAAAAGAAAAAGAGAGGAGAGAAAAAAUUUGUUCUUAAAAAUUGUUCCAUAAAUAAGAAACACGUUUUUCUUGUUUCUUGUUUCUGUUCCAAAUGUGUUCUUGGGAACAAAAAAAUAGAUUUGAAACAAAAACGCAAACAAACGCGUUUUUGUUCUUUUUUUAUUCCCUGGAACAAAAAAAUAGAAAUUUUGUUCAUAAACAGAAAUAAAGAACAUUAACAAAUAAGCCCUUAUAUGCCACUUUCUCCCGUUGUCGUGGACGCUAUCAUAUUCGAGGAUACUUUCUUGAGUAGAACUGUCAAAGCUUCAAAUCCAUCCUGGAGUAUGAAAAUUCUCCGCUCCUAUUUUGGCGGCCAACUGAGAAGGAUGUCUCCAUUGGCUCUGCCUUGAUGGCAAUCGCGACUAUUUUUUUUUCAAUCUCAGCUGAAUAUGAAAAAAAGAAGAAAUUAACUAAAUAAACACAAAAAUAUUAAAAGUGAUGAGAUUUGGAGAUAUUUUCUUUUGUUCCCCGUUGAAAUGUCUCCUUUCAGAGAGGCUCUAAGUCAUUUUAAGAUUGGACGUCUUUGAAGGCUCCUCCUUUGUCCUGGAUCCUCACGAGGACGAGGGUUGAAAGGUCCUGUGAAAUGGGAUAUUUCGGAAAUAUCUGUGCAUGUCCUCCUUGCGUGUCCCACUGAAUUAUUCUUCCGCCAACGAUGACAACAGCGAAACCGAGGCAAUAUACUGGUUCAUACCUAAUAAGUAACUGUAUAUACUGUAGCAAUACAUUGGUGAAUGUAAUAGAAAAUGUCACAUCAGCAUUGUUUUCCUUAUUAAAUUUUCAAUUUUUUUUUGGAUGUGGUCCUUCUCCUGGUUGAGUGAUCCGUAGUAGAAAACACCCCGUGCCACUCGCACAUAACUAUAUAUAUUACACCAACGUAUAGGUAAAAUAGGAAAAAAAAGGUAAAAUCGUUUUUUUAUUUUCUCUUAUUAAAUUUUCAAGUUUUUUUUUAUGUGACGCACAUCCACGUUACGUGUUUUUAGAACACAAUUAAAAAAAGGAAGCCACAUUAGUAUGCUAUGUUGGCUAAAUUGGACGGAAUUAAUGAAGAAACUUCAUCAUAUCAGCUUAAUAAAUUUUAGGACUUGAUUCAAUUACUUAAAAGUUUUAAAAUUCGAUUAUACUUUUGUGAUGAGUUUCAUGGCUGGUGGUGCACUCAUCCAAAACAAAUAAGAACACUGAUCUUGUAGAUAGCCUUUUUUCUUUUUCUUUUUUCUUUUUGGAAAAUUGAAAUAUCCAAUGGCUUGAACUUCUUACGUCUGAUCGAGCUCAUCUAAAAACUUUCCUCCAUGUCAUUCCUCCAUGAUAGGAUCUUUUAAUUCCAUGCACUUUUUUUUGAGUCACGGCUAUUAUAAGGAAAGAAAAAACCUCAGAAUCAACAGAAGGUCUCAAACUAUCAAAUGGGUAUUGGCAAUAUUUAGAAUUUGAAAAAUUGAACCUCUGAACGAAGAUCCAUAUGCAUUCAUGCUAUGACACAAGCACCCGUACAUUGCCACAUAUGAUGGACGAUAUUUCAAUUUAAAUAUGGCUGAGAUUUUAUAUAUAUAUAGACACACACAUGUUAAGAGGUGGAUUUUAUUGGUUUUUGGCCACUAGUUGGUGGGAAGGGAGUUUUUGGCCGUAAUAAUUAAUUGUGCGGCACGCUCAUAAAUUAUAUCCCAAAGAAAUUGCUAGUGUUUUGGAACCGUGACAAAGUCUUGUGGUAAGAAUUUGCGUCUUCUUUGUGAGAAUGGGCUAAACACUAUAAGUUAUUGGCAUAACUAGGUCUAAGAAGGGUUGUGACUUGAGUGUGAUUAUAAUUUUUAUUGUAUCUCCUUUAUCUAUCAUGAAACCUUGUGCUGCUCUCCCGAUGGAGCCAAACAUUUACUAGACCACGUAAAUAUGAUGUUCGAUUAAUUUCCUUAAUCUAUUUAUUAAUCUUUGGAUCACUUGUUUUCACAAAAAAUUGGUAUAAAAGAUAGUUAGGCUGAGUUGAAGUAGAUUGAUGGCUACAAAAGAAGGAAAUAUAAGAGUCAACAAAUUUGAUUGGAAGGACUUUAAUUUUCAAAAAUGCAUAUUACGGAUAAUAGGUACCAGAGGAAUCUAUGGUUAUCUUUGUCUAGAGAGAACCAAAGUCGAUAAAGCAAGCAAAUUAGGAUUUAAUGGACACACAUGUGUUGGUUAUUACUCAAUUGUCACGUUGAACAUUGCGGAAGAGAAGACCCUACAAAUUUAAUGAAUGUCUGUCAAACAUAUAUGAGAAGCCCUCUACAAUCAACAAUGUCUACUCAAUAUGACUCUGUUUCACUUAAAAGAUGGGUGUGUUGGACGCAAAUUGCGCAACCCCAAGAUCUCCAUAACUAGAACAAGAACAUGCAUAAUUGAGUAGAAAGAUUAACGCACCUGUUUCGGGAUCCAUCGAACAUAAAGCAGAAGCAGAAAAAAGGAUUACCCACAUAUCAAGGGGAUCUACACAUUAAGUCAUUCUCCUCUAUUGCCCUCCGUAUCACUAGCUCAAUGAGGUGGCCCCCCUCACGUGUAGCGUUAGGUAAACGCCCCUUAGGUGAGGAUACAUGUGAGAAUUAGAGUUAGAUGAGAGACUUGAGCACUUAUUUAUAGAGUUUCCAGCCAGUCCCUCUCAUUACGGGCCAGGCUCAACUCGGCCCACACUAGCCAGCCCAUAUUAGACUAAUUAAGAAACUUCUAUCUCACUAUAGACCAACUCUAUUUUACGGUAACUGUAAAAACAGUAAAUUACAAUAUCAAUUAAUUUAAUCCACAUUAGGAAAACUCUUACAUUCUCCCACUUGGAUUAUAUUAAUUGAAAUCGACUGUAUGUGCGCACAUUUGGUCUAGAGAUAAUUCUUAAUAGUCAAUCAUAUCUCAUAAAGUCUUAAACACUGAAUCAUGGCGGUAAAUGCAUGUAUACACACAGAGCCUUCCAUGGUCACGAGUGUUCUCAACUUUAUUGAUAUGGAUUCAAUAUGGUAGUGUGGCAAAUGGAUAACAUCUCUCAUAGAGAGAUCACAUUUGUCAGUCACCAUUCUUUUACCUUAGGCGUCACAAAAACUUGUGCCACUAGAGAAUGUUUUAUGGUUCCAAUGAACCAACAUAUGUCUUGUCCUUAUGGUUAACCUUUCUUUAUGUAUCACAAGACAUAUGCACAAGACUAAUAACCGGAUGCCCCUAGCCUUCACUCAAGGUAAAUCCAGUACUGUUCAAAAAUAUUUUAUUGAAUGCAAAAGUUGAUACAUAUUAAAUCAUUACAAAGUGUAACGAACACAGAUGAAACAUUUCUCAGAGUAAAGCCAAAAUAGCUCCCACUAAACAACAGCAUCUCAUGAUGCUCCUAGGCCCAUGCUAAUGAUAUGCCACUCAAAUACACACGAGCAUAGGCCUUUAGUUAGUGGAUCUGCAAUCACAUCAUCUAUGAAAAUAUAUUAUAUUAAAACGUCACAUUUCUGUACCGUUUGCUUUUGGUAAAAAAUUUUGACCACCAUAUAUUUAGACCCCUUGAGACCUCAGUAGUAAAUAAAUAAUAUUACAAAUUUGUUAUCUCAAUACAAUCGUAUGGGUCAAUUCAUAAAAUUAAAAACGGUCAACUCCUUAAUGAGGUUCCAGAGCCUAAUAGCCCAAGUAAUAACCUAAAAGAAUGUUAUUAGCACUGCUUAUAUAGUAGAAGAUGACAUAGAAUUUUAUUUACUGCACUUCCUGCUAACAUAAAUAUGUAUUCCGUUAUUGAUUGCAUGUCAUCAGAACAGCCAGCAAAGUUUACAUCUAAAUACCCUACUAACUGCAAGAAUUGAACAUGUCUAUAAAUUAACAUAUAAUCUAUUGUCUUCUUUAAGUACCUUAAAACCUUCUUAACAGUAACCCAGUGAUCAUGUCCUGGAUUUGACCGAUAUCUGCUUAGAAGUCGCGUCACACAGACAACAUUUAGUUUAAUGCAAAUUCGAUCAUACAUUAUACUUUUAAGUGCACUGACACAAGGUACUUCUUUUAAUUAGAUUUUCUCAAUAUCUAAAUAAGGACAAUGUGAUAGAUUUAGUCCAUCACCCUUAAUAACAGGAGCAAUUCUUGGCUUGCAAUAAUGUAUAUUGAAUAUUUCCAAUAUACAAUCAGCAAAUGUUCUCCGAGAAAAUCUAAUAUAAUAUGUCAAAAACGGUCCUUACAGACCUCAGUACAUAGGAUAUAAGAUGUCUCAAGGUCACAACUUGUAAGUAAAAUAUUAUGUACAUAAAGUAUGAGAAAAAAUAAAUUUCCUCCCACUAACCUUACAGUAUAUUGAAUUACUUUGUUCCAAAUUAAACAAAAUAACAACAUUAUGAAACUUUAAUAAUAUUAUCUGGAAAUUUGCUUAAGACUAUAAAUAAGACUUUUCAAUCUACACACAAGUUUACUUGAAACAUUUGUUGCAAAAUUCUCCAAUUGAACAAUAUAGAUUUUGUAUCCAUUUGGCGUAACUUUAUAUCAAAAUAAAUUAUUAAUACCACGUUCACUCUGAAAGAAUAUUUACAGAAAUAAUUAUUUUUUUACUAUAAACAAUCCAUAUAAGAUGCAAAAUAAUUCCAAGUGGAUAUGAAUUCCGACGCACUUAAUAUUGGAUUAGAUAACCUCACUUUUGCAUGACACCUCUAAAUUUCAUAUGAUUCAAGUAAUUUAUGUCCAAUCUUUAAUUCAAAAGAAGUUUAUGAAACAACUUUGAUAAGAGACACAUUUUGUAUGUGAAAAAAAUUACUUUCAUAAUAUCAACCCACAAAAAACCAAAUAAAUUAGUCUUACUAAUCAUAUUCAUUACCAUGUUCAAUAUGGUGCAUUUAUGCCUUUUGGCCAAAUCUUUUUGUCAGAAUUUUCAGGUAUAAUAAUUAAAAGGCCAAUUCCAUAAAUAAAAAAAAGCACCAACUUUAGCCAUUUUCCCAAAUCUAGCCCGAACUAUAUUUUGUUCCAAAAAAAAGCCCAAACUUUUAGUAACAUCCCAAAUCUGACCUUCGUUAUCAUCCUUCCAUAGUCACCGUUAGUCAUCUCUGAGGCAUUUCCAUGUCACCCAGAAAAUUUGUUCCAAUUAUUUUCCAUUUUCUCGAAGAUUUUCCGUUCGUUUUUGUUCGGAAUUGAGCCAAGAAAUCACCGGUUUCUUAUCCUAGCGAGCGUGAGGUCAUGAUUGCAACGAUGGAUUCUAACGACGAGGAGGAGAUCGAGUUCGAAGAGGACAAGAAAGUUAGGGUUGUGAAGGAGGCCGGUGUCCCCGUCGCCGUCGACAAGGACGACGAGGAGACAACGAGGAAGAAGAGGAGGAAGACGGCAUGCAAAGCUAGGAGGAAGCGAACGGUGAAGGAGAUGGGCGCGGCGGCGUGGGCGACAAGAACGACGACGAGGAAGAGUAGGACGACGGUGCGUUAUCGACCCACCAAAGUCUCUUUUUUUUUCCGUCUCUUCCUCCUACUUUAACCUCGCUUGUCGCAGCCAUGGACGGGGCUUUGUUUCAGAUCUAGAGUUGGCCGUCAGGAAGAUGAAGACAAAGAUGAAUAGCCUCGUGAGCAGAUUGUGAAUUUCUGAAUCAACUUUAGCAUUCAAGUAUGGGAUUCUCUUCUUCUUUUUUCCUGUUCCAACGAUGAGCUGAAAUGAAUACAAGGAAACCUUUAGCAUUCAAGUUUCUGGGUUUCCUUUUCUUUUUCCCCCAAGAUUCCAUAGAUUUCCCAUAACCCAGCUUCCAUAGAUUCCGUAUAACUCGAGUUGUUUGUGGCCAUGUCUUCCAUGUUUGGCCAAAAAGACAAGUCAAGAGACUCACUGACUUUUUACUCACGUUGCUCUAUAAACUCCUCUAAAUAUCAGAUCUUUUGGCUAAAAAGACAAGCCAAGACACCCAUUGCCCCUUCCUUGUCUCAAAGAUUUUUCCUCACAUUUUUUCUUUUUGAAGACUUCUAUUUUUUCCAAAUUUUUGGCCAUUUGCUCAGGCCAAAAACGGGUAAAUAUGACCACAAAGACAAUGGAGAUGGAGGACUCCUUUCGGCGAAAAUGAAGCUAACAACAAGGACGACGGAGGGGUGGUCUGGUUUGGACGUGAAGUGUUGGCUUGGACGAGCAUCGACAAUGGACGCGCGGAUGUCAAGCUUGGCGGUGACUCUAGUCGGAGGAUGUCAGAGAGAGUGACUUGAUGAGUAGGACGAAGAGAAUGCCACUAACGGUGACUAUGGAAGGAUGGUUAACGGAGGCCAGAUUUGGGAUGCUACUAAAAGUUUGGGCUUUUUUUUGGAACAAAAUAUAGUUUAGGCCAUAUUUGGGAAAAUAGUUAAAAUUGGUGCUUUUUUAUGGAAUUGGCCUAGUAAUUAAAUUACCACCCCAGAAUCUACGAAGUAUUUGACAAAUGACCCUUUAAGCUAUUUCGCAUUGUCAUACUUGUCAAAAUACUCACAGCCACUGUUAAGCCUGACAACCUUUUAAGAUUAAUUGUAAUUGUUUUAUUCUUUAUCUCGGUCAUUUUCCUUAAACAUAAAAUUUUCGGAAACAACAUUUUAAUCAUAUACGAGAUGUAUAUGUCAUUAGGACUUAAACAAAAUCUUUGCAGAUAUGUCCUAAUUUCAAUAUCAGACAAUAUAUAAUUUCAAACAACUAAGGCUUCCAUCAUCUUAUAAAAGUGCAGUCUGCAGACAAACCUCUUUUCAAGUGUUCCAAAAUGGAAUGCUUCAUGAACAAUAAGCAAAUUCAAUUGCUCUUUUCUCAAGCAACAAAUCAUAUAUCCACAACUUAAAAUUUGAAGCGGUAAAAACCUCAAUAAUAAUGAAGUUAUUAAUUACAUAAAAUGUGACUGAAAACCAAGUAAUGUAUAUAAUUAGCAUUAUGUGAGCACUGUGUAACUUGACAUAUAAGUACACAUCUAGAGAGUUACACGCACAAUUAUAUAAUCACCUUUGGGCAUAAUACAUGACAUGCAGUUGUACACUCCCCACAUGAUAGCGGUUAUGAGAAUAUAUUCCAAUUCUUCGUGAAUUCAUCACCUUUGGGCAUAUUAAUCACUAGAAUCAGUCACCCUUCCAUCACAUUAUCAUGUAUCCCUCCAUGAAUUAAUACACAAUCACCUCCUUUGGAAGUAUGACUACGUAUUAGACCAAGAGACAUCACAAUCAUUAUACGAGAUCGAAAUUUCUCAAACCCAAUCAAGCGUGCCACUUUGGCGGUCACUACUCAAUUUAAUCAUUGAAAUUCUCUCAUACCAGGGAUAUAAACUUUACUUCUCACAUACACCAUAUACAUGUGAUGUUAACUUUAGUGAUAGGGACAUCAUAUCACCAAAAUCACAUAUCAUGCUAAUUACAUUACUUUAUUCAUUAAUAAAAUCUUUAUUUAUACAUACACACACACACACACACACACACACAUAUAGCGAACCUGAAAGACAGAUUCCAAUGAGAUCACUAAUCACAAUAACACAAGAAAAUUCUCAUAGAAGCAAGCAUCUUGUGCACCCUGAUUACUGAUUACUAAAAUAACAUUAAAAGAAUGCCGAUUCAAAGGAUCCCUCACAAGUUAACAUCAAUAGCAAUACAGGGUACUCUAGAUUGACAAGCUUGAUAACUAAUCAACUAUUGCUCAUGAGUUUCAUACGGCAAAACAUGACUCCAAGACCAACAACUGAUUUAUUAGCCAAUUUUUAAGUAACAAAUUAUCAUUGUAAUCAACCAGUGGCCUAUUAAUUGAGUCAAACCAAAGAACAAAAUAUCUAAAAUUUAACAGUAGAUACUAUUGCUCUGCGUAAAUGUUGUUAUACUCCUUAACCAUAAAAAUAUUUAACUUGAUAGACAUUAACAAGUGACCAGAUGAGUUCAUGUACAAUAUGCAGUAACUUAAUUGACAUGCAUUACCCACAUACAUCAGAUAUGUUAAUCAGUACAAUCAGUUUAGUCAUGAGUUCUUAAGACAUCCAUCAUUCAAAGAUUACCAGCGUAUCAAGGAGUAUGCUUAAGUAACACAAGUUUUAUAACCUUUACUGUUUUUCAUCAGCUCAAUACAUAGCUCAAUUAGUAUUCCAUAAUGGUUGUAUAUCAUUAAGCCAGCUUCAGUUCACAAUAAAAUUUAAUUUUUAUUAAUGAAUCAUAACAUUAUAAUAUUUAUGUGAUAACAUACCUGUAACUCAACACUUAUAUUUCCAAAAUCACAGAAAAUAUAAGAAAAAUACGCAAAAAUACACUAAAAAUACACGUAUUUAGGGUUCCGUAUGUAUUUUUACAUCCAUAAAAUUUCAAACAUGUAAAGUAAAUGCAUCACAAUGUAGAGGGAAAUCAUACGAAUCCAAAGCCGCUAGCCACACAUCGAUCGGAGUCCCCACGCGCCCACACGCAUCGCCUGAGUGCGCCGCGCGUGGAGCUCACGCGCAGCGCGCGUUUGACGCCCAAGCGGCGCGUGGCCAUGCGUGGCCGCUAACCGUCUUGCUCAUCUCGUCAAGCCCAGUCCAAAUUUGUGAUUUAAUUUUAUUUUUAUUGAACAAAAAAUCUUGAAAAUCACAAAUUAUGGCAAAAACUUUAUGCGUUCAAGUUCUAGGGUUACGGUUGCUCUGAUAUCACAUGUUGGACGCAAAUUGCGCAACCACAAGAUCUCCAUAACUAGAACAAGAACAUACAUAAUUGAGUAGAAAGAUUAAUGCACCUGUUUUGAGAUCCAUCGAACAUAAAGCAGAAGCAGAAAAAGGCUUACCCACAUAUCAAGGGGAUCCAUGCAUCAAGUCGUUCUCCUCUAUUGCUCUUCGUAUCACUGGCUCAAUUAGGCGGCCCCCCUCACAUGUAGCAUUAGGUAAACACCCCUUAGGUGAUGAUACAGGUGAGAAUUAGGAUUAGAGGAGAGACUUGAGCACUUAUUUAUAGAGUUUCCAGCCAGUCCCCCUCAUUACGGGCCAGGCUCAACUUGGCCCACACUAGUCAACUCAUAUUAGACUAAUUAAGAAACCUUCUAUCUCACUUUAGACCAACCAUGUUUUACGGUAACCGUAAAAACAGUAAAUUACAAUAUCAAUUAAUUUAGUCCACAUUAGGAAAACCCUUAAAGGGUGAAGAUGCAUCAUGGUUGAGCAUAUUAGUGAAUUCAAUUAGAGAUUGAAUUUGCUAAUAAUGUAUGUGCUUUGAUUCUAUUAUCAUAAUUGCUUGAGAGUUGGAAUACUAUAAUUCCUCUAUGUAUAUAGUAAAAUUAUAUAUGCUCGUUGAAAGGCGCAAUUUUAGUGCAAGUACGCUUAUUUUUAUUUUCCAUUUUGUGUGUGCGUCGUUUUCCUUUUACUUUCAAUUUCUACUAGUCCUGCAAAUUGGGUUGACAGUUGAAACACCGAGUUCGAUACGAUUUUCACGUUUCGUAUGCGUAUAGACCUAAUACUACGGAGAAAAAGGGGAUAUCGACAGAGACCCUUGAUAGUGUUAUUUACGUGAAAGAAGGGACUGAAAUAUCAUGUAUUGUACGCAUUAUUUCAUUACACACUCUGUUACUUCCUCGUAUCUGCUUGGGAUGCUUCCUUGAUGAUAAAAAGAUCAAAGCUCCAAAGGUAGACGACGCCAAUUUAAGCAGACGAGCGCGACUUUUCCCACUGUCGUGGCCAGAACUUUGUCCUCAUCUUUUCUCACGGGAAAAGACCGGGAGCAUUAUCAAAAUGAAUUAAAAUGAUUUAUCACGGGUGGACUUGGACUUUUGAUGGCCCCACUCUCGUAUUCCUACUACUUUUCUUCUCCUUUAAAAAAAAAAAAAAACCAUUUUCCACGACAAGAACGCCUUUUUAAAUGGCGAAAUCAUUCAAUAAAUUUAGACUACGAUGACCAAGACGUCUUUUCUUCUCUCUCGACGAAUGAAAUGGCUGGGCAUCUUUUCGAUCUACAAAGGUGAAACCAAAAAUCAGUUUAUUAAAGCAAAAGUGGUUUCCUCUUGACUUGUUUAAAAGUAGUGGGUGUGCGUGUACCACGGCCUCUCCCCCAUUAUUGAAGCGGAAUUCAUUUUUAUUGUUCUUAGUCCAACGCUGUUCGUGCUCAAGCAAUCAAUAAAAGCACUUCGGAAUGCUAUUUUGGCCCCCCAAAAGAGGAAAAAAGACGUAUGUGAAUCAUGAGAGAAGUCUUUUGCUUCCACAAUGAAAGAGAUUCCGCCCAUCAUGCACUAGAAUUGAAGAAAGCUAAAUGCGAUUCUUGCUUUAAACCGGUCUUAUUAAUUCGCUACUGCUCUUGAUCAUGCUACAAAAAGUAUGCGGAACUAUUGGCACAGUUUUAUUUUUUUAUUUUCAGUAAAAAUAAAUAUAACAAACUAUUUAUGGUACCGACGAGAGGAGACAGACAAUAGAGCCGAUUGUUUUUGGAAAAAAAAAAAACAGUUAGGUCCAAAGAAAUUGCUAGACCAAUAUCCAAAAUAUGUUCAGUCAGAAAAAAGUUUAUGCAUUUUUAACAUGCGUAGUCUUCCCCAAAGGAAGGACAGUACCAAUGGGUCGUGUGAAUAUCUAAUUGGCUUUAGUAUCUGGAAUUUGCUGGUUCAUCUUCAUACAUAAGAAGAGAAUUUGAAACGCUGAGCGAGUUCGAUAUGAUUUUCACGUUCUGCCUAAACCUAUGGAGAAAAGGAACAGGGUUCAAGUCCCAUAAUUCUAUUCAUUAAAUGAAAGAAGGGAAGAAUUUUCCGUGUGAUGUACUUGCAGAUGUAUUUUUGGAUCAUGCAUCUGUUCAUAACUUGAGAUAUGCUCGAGCUUGAUUACUUUAAUAAAGUAGACUCCAUCAUGUUUCUGAAACUGAAAUCAAAUCGCAGCUCUUUUCGGCACCGAAAACUAAUCGGCGAAUUGAGCUGGCCGAAGGUUGAUACAAACAGGACGCUUGCUUCAUAAGAGUACGAGCGCAACCCUAUGGUAUUCCUCACGAUGAGCUACAACACUGUCAAGAUAAAUGAGGGAAACCAAUUUCCAAUUUGUUGACUACUCAGAAAUAGCAUGUUCCCCCAACUUGUUGUCUAGGCCACGAGGUUUCUUCUCUCGUCCUCUACUCAGCAAAGAGAUUGGGUUGUGUCUCAUAAAGAGUUCAACAAAGACCCCUGCAAAAUUGUACACAUUAUUAGGAUUCCGCACACAAUCACAAGAAAAUAGAAAAAAAAAAGAAAAAAAAAAGAAAAAAAAAGGAGUAAAGCAAGAAAGAAAAUUCGAGACACAAGAUUUAUGCGGGUUUGCUCUAAACUAGGGCGAUGUCCAUAGAAUUCUGUUCUAAUUAGCAUAUUACACAUUUCUGUUACAUUUCUCAAUUACAAGAGAAAGAGCACAACUCCCAUGCUAUCUUGUCAAUAGGGAGUACAAACUAGCCUAACACAUAUAUCUUUUUGUUGGUGAAUUGAUGCCUUUGGAAAUAAUCACAGGCCUGUUCAUGUGUAGCUAGAGAUUCUUGUGGGGGGAGGAUGCUAGAAAGGACCGCCUUCACUAUGGUUCCCGAUGUGAAUGGUUGCAAAUCUGAAAAUGUUGCUACAUGUCGGUCCACAUGAUAAGAUUUCAUUGAUCAUAAAAAUGCAAGGCUUGAGCAUGUCUAAGUCCCAUCAAUGCGGAACCAAUUUGCACGUAAACAAAUGAGGGAAGACCGGCAUGGUGGGAUCCAAUGGAUGACUUGUUGAUAGCGGCCCUUGUGGUCUUCAAUAACGUUAUCACCUGUGAACAUUUAUCAGGACAGGCCGUUGACUUAGGGUGCGCAUGAGAACAUUUCUUGGUUUCAGAAAUUGUUCUUUUCUAUUUCUUUUCAGAAAUAGUUCUUUUCUAUUUCUAUUCUGGGGAACAAUUUCUAUGUAAAAAAACCCGUUUGAUAACUACACAAAAUUUUUACUCUAGAAAUAGAAAAAGAAUAGAAAUGCGUUUGGUAAAAAACAGUUUCUUUGUUAUAUUUAUUUGUUUUUUUUUUUUAUUUUUGCUGGUAGACCGCCGGACGCCGCCGCCGCCGCACGUCCCUGGCGGUCGACGGCGGCUGAUGGGCCGUGCGGCGGCAAUCGGCGGCGGCAGUCGGCCGGCGGCGGUCGACCGGCGGGGACGUGCGGCGGCGGCGGCGUCCGGCGGCGUCUGGCGACAACCGGCGGGGGCGGCGUCUGGCGGCGUCUGGCGACGACCGGCGGCGGCGGUCGGUCGGCCUCCGGCGGCGACGGCAGCAACGGUCGCCCGGCGGCGACCAGCGGCGGCGAAGGUCGGUCAGCCUCCGGCGACCGACGGCGGCUUCCGGCGGCGACCGGCGGCGGCGUCCGACGGCGACCGGCGGCGACCGGCGGCGGCGUUCGACGGCGACCGGCGGCGACUGACGGCGGCGUCGGUCGGUCGGCCUCCGGCGACCAGCGGCGGCGGCGGUCGGCCUCCGGCGGCGGGAGCGGCGGUCAGCCGGCGGGGGCGGUGGUCGGUCGGCCGGCGGCGGCGGCGGGCGGCGGCGAGCAACGGUCACAGCGGUCAAUGGCAGUCAACAAGAGAAGAAUAAAAGAAAAAAAAAAUUAACUUAUUUCUUAAACUUGUUCCCGGGAACAAGAAGCAACUUUUUUUUACUUCUCAUUUCUAUUCCAAAACCAUUCCCGGGCUAACUUUUUGUUCCCGGGAACAAAAAACUAACUUGCCGUUAUCAAACAGGUUUCUAUUCUUUUUUUGUUCCGGGGAAGAGAAGAAUAGAAAUUUUUGGGCUGGGGAAGGUUACCAUGCAGACCCUUAAAGUCUCCGAUGACGAUAGAAUAGAGAGACCAUCGAUCCUUUUCUAGCUGUUAUGCAGAAGAUGACUUUCCUUGGCCCACAAGCUUCUAGUUGGCAGGCCAUCAUUAAGCUUGGCUACGUCAUUGGUCUUGUGUCGACCUAUCUUCCACGGCAUCAAAAGUUAUCACUGCUCCAUCAUCAAAGCGCUGACGAACUUGUGCUCUUAGGCACUGCUACCUCCCGUGGACAACAUUAUGGACUCCUGAUGCGUCCGAUGGGCUAUAUCUAGGGUCUUAGAUGGUGCUGAGUAACUGUAACUCACAUGUAAUCUCUUGUAGUGGAUGCUUGGCUACUCGACCCUUUCAUUUUUGUGAUAAUCAUUCACGGUCAUUUGUGUGAUAAUCAUUUCGUGAUUUCUGAGUCAACACAAGCCGUUUCCCCAUUUGCUAUGAUAAGGGCUUGUGAAUUGGAAAUGAAGAUGCAUCUGGCAGAUGGCCUAUUGUGAAAAAUCCUCACAAAAACGAUCACAAUAGUGGGACGAGUACAAGGAAUGGAGUAGCGUGCCAUUUAGGCCUAGUAGAACGCGCAGCACAUCAGCGCCAUUUCCAGGAUUUUUAUCCAGCGAAACAAUACAAUUUUUUAUUAUAAGAUUCUGAUCGACAAUCGACAAUUCAUAUUUCAAUUUAAGAUUUCUAUUCCUGAUUAUGCCUUUUGGGCGGGAACGCUUUGCCAAUUCCUUUUCUCCGGCGUUUCUAGUACAGGCAAAUAAAAAUGGGCUUGAGGGGGCCCUAGCUGCAAGAGAGGCCCAAUUAGGUGGAUAGUGAACUAUUUUGGGGAGAAGAUUUAGGUUUCAGAGAAGCAUACUACGAGCAGUGCGACCAUUUUUAUGAAACUUUCCAUUAUAAAAAAUGUUCCACACUUAUGGAAAAUAAAGGAUUCACACAGAAAACAAUUGCCAAAAUUUAAAAAAAAAAAAUUGAAAAAAGAGAAGACAAUAUUGGCCAUGAUCCCACUUUCUCACUUGUAGUUUUGGAGGUGAUUAUUAAAUAAACAUAGAAUCUGUAAUCAAUUGAAUAGAAUAGUGGAUAAAAUAUUGAAAAAAUCACAAUUAUUGAUAUUUUUCAGCGAACAUAUUUAAUGCGCAUGUGAAAAUACAAUCAUCUAUAUAGAAAAGUUCUUACUCAAAGAAAUUGGUAUGUGUGAAGUUCGAGACAAAAACAUAAGAAGUAUACAACUCAAGGAGCAUAUCUAAGGAGAUUUCAUCUUGUUGAACUACGAAAAAUCCAUAGUUAAAUUUCAAGAUUUUGUGCUCAAUUUAUAAUUCAAUGUUGAAGACAUAAAACUAAUUCAAUUUUGUGCUCAAUUUAUAUAUGAUUAAUUUUCACUAUAUUUGUUUACUAUUGAGAAUUGGCAAGUAACAUUCGCAAGGAGGGGGAUAGAUAAUAGUGUAACUACUAGGGUUCUUUGAUGUUGAUACAGGUAGUUCUAGUGGUGAGUUUCGAUACAUCAGAUAGUGAGGAUUGAAUGAUAUCUUGAUCUAAGCAGCAAGAGCAUCAGCAGCUAGCAACAAUCCUUCCAUGCUAUUGACAAUUUAGUGUGAUCCUCAGGGAAGAGUCGGGUAAGGCAUAUGCAAGAUCGCUUUCUUUUCCAAAAGGGAAACAUCUUUCUUGUUUUUUUUUUCCCCAAGCAAGUAACAAUCUAACUGAACCACGAAGGUUGGUGCGCCGUGUGACUAGUGUAAGUUCUACAACAAUCAAAUUGACAGCAAGUAUUCAAGGAUCUCAAGACGAACUAAAAUCACAGCAUCUUGCUCAAGUUAGAUGAUUGCAAAAUUGGCACAUACAUGCUAGGAUAAUGCCUAGCCAAUUCAAUGAUUGGUAUGAUUUCAUAGUUUAUUGAUCCCCAACAUCGAGAAAAAGUUCGUUACCAAUAAGCAAUAAAUAACUAACCAAAAUCCUCAUAUUAGUAAACUAACAAGUUUUCCUCCCUUCUCUCUUUUCUUUUUCUUUUGCUUCGAAGACUGAUUUCCAUGACAAACGCAACGACAUGACUCAUAAGAAUGAGAGGUUGGACUAAUCUUCACCAUGUUGCACUAGAAAAAAGUGGCUGCACUUCCAAAAAUAUAGUGACAUCCGCAUCGAUGUUUGACUUGCUAGAUUUAAAAGUAGUAGCGUAAGAUUUAGUUGCCUCACCAUCCUCUUGAUCUUGCUGAGUACUCGAAGGAUAUUGGAGCUUCCUUAUCCCCUCCAACUCCAUUGCCACUUCUUUCAUUGUAGGUGGGUUCCUUCCAUUCAAGUUCAAGUUUCUUUUCACAAGGUUAGUAUCUAAUUCAAUCUCUUCCUUCUUACCUUCUUUCCAAACUUGAGCAUCAACAAUGUUGAACAAGCAAUUCUCCUUCAUCGAAAUUAUGAAAUAGGUUGUGAGGCUUCUUACUUCUUGUUCCCUCAACGACGAGAUUGGCUUUUGUCCCGUUAAGAGUUCAACAAGGACAACUCCAAAGCUGUAGACAUCGCUUUUGUCUAUAAAUUGACUUGAUCAGAAAUACUUUGAAUCUAGGUAGUCAAAAGUCCCCUACACCAAUGUGGUCACAAGGGUUUGAUCGAGGGAAAUGGACAUAGAAGUGUCGAAAUCCGCCACUUUUGCUCGAUAUUUCUUAUCCAAGAGGAUAUUGGUGGACUUGAUGCCUCGAUGAUAUAUCAUAAUAGAGGCUACUGAACAUAAAUAGAAUAAGACUCCAGUAAUUUUAGUAAUUCAUAGGCAUGUGUCCCACAAUACGAGAAACUUGGCAUUUGGGUCAUCAUAUAUUGGUAUAGAGUUCUAUUUGGUGUGAACUCAUAUACUAAAAGUGGGAAUUCCGUCUCCAAGCAACACUGCAAUAACUUGACCACAUUUCUAUAGUUAAUUUGUGAGAGAAUUACGACUUCAUUUAUGGACUGUUCGACUUUUCCUUCGUUUAAAACUUUUGAUUUUUUAAUAGCAACUAUUUUUCCAUCGGUUGACAUUCCUUUGUAAACAAUACUUUGUCCCCCUUGAUCGAGAAUCCUAUUGUAGUUGAAAUUGUCAAUGGCCUUCUCUAAAUCCUCAGCAUUGAACAAUUUGCUUUUCUCAACGUUGUCUUCUGGGAAAGAUAGCUCACUUUUCAACAAAAAGCCACCAUUGUGUUUGAAAUACUUAUUUUCUCUUCUUGAUGUAUCUGUACAACCUCCAUAAGAAAAGACACAAAAGUAGUGCCCCAAGGCUUGCCCUAGCCCCUGCAUUGUAAAAGUUUAAGGUGCAUAAGUGAGAAAAUUGUACUUGCUUGUCAAAAAAUCUAUGAAAGGCACUUAUCAUCAAAGUGAAUCUAAUUAAAAGGAAAACAUAUAGGAGUGAUUAACCUAAAUCUCCUUUCAUGCGGAUUUUCUCAACAACCAUGAAAAAAUAAUUCGUCUUCUGUUUAAGUUCCAUCCCUAAAAAAUUUUAUUAAUAUAUCUGCACCGUACAAUUGAUCUCCACCUAGCAAGGAAUUUAGGAAACCACUGAUGAAAGUGAAAUAGUUCAUAGCAGCAUUCAUCUUUACUAUCAUUGUAAUAAUUGCAAUUAAAAUAUACCAGAAUAAAUAGGAAUCCUGGAUAUCUUUAGAUAAAUAUGAAGCGGUGGCAUUAGAGAAGCUCAAGCAUUUUCUUCUCUAUUUAACUAUUAGUGUUAAAGAAAGUUUUGAGGUUGUUUUAAUAGAUACUAUUAAUUGGAACUUACCUAUAAUCAUCACAAGGCGAAUGCGCAAUCAUGUUAAAAUGAAGAGUAAGGUAAUACUUAUUUUGGACCUUUUGUGAAUGUAAUUCAUGCUACAUUGCACUUUUUCCACCAACGCUACCAGCAUGAAGCUGUGGGUUAAAAGAUCUACUUACCAAUAAGAAUGAAUUUAUCUGUCUUUCUACCAUCGAUGCAGUCAUAGGAGCCCGGUUUGUCCACACAAGUCCUGGUACACCUAUUUGAACCUUCACAUUCAUUAAUAUCUGAUGACAAAUAUAGAAUAAAGUAUAUUAGCAGUGAAACGCACCUCCUUGGCUAAAAGUAGCAAGACUAGUAGGUCGCAUUUUCUCACAAAUUGUUAAUUCCAUGGCUAAAAUAUGAUACAAAAAGACUGUCAUGUUCCCCUUCAUUUCCAGGGAAUUAUUAUCGAUAUAAUCGAUUUUGUUUGAAAUUGAAUUCACUUCGUAUAAUCUCAGACAGAAAAAUAGAAAAGGAAGGCUGAAAAGCAUGUAUCUGAUCAUUUAACAGUGUGAAUGCAUUAUUUUCAGAGAAAAAUGAUCUCGAACAGCGUGUGUACUAAGGUCGCAGGGUCUUGGGUGUCGUUGGCUGCGAAUCCCGGCACGAGCUCUGGUUCGGACGUCCCUGUUUCUCACCCCUCAGUUGGCGUAUACUAAAUGUUCGAUAAAUUGCCUAAAUUAGACGCCCGUUCUUGGUCUUCAUUGUGCCCGAAACUUGCUGUGUUUUUGUUUAUACUGAGCAUAAAUGAGUUGUCAACCUUGGUCAUUCAUUACUUGCUGAUUUUGGUCUGUCUCGGACAAGUUCGAAGCGUCCUCUUAGCUGACGCCCUCCGCACGUUUGAUGAAAUGUCUGACUGAAAUGUACGCGUUUAUUCUUAAGUCCUCCGUCCCUUUUAAGUGUUCGUGAUUGGUCAAAUGCGUUCCGGUAGAUUCCCACUGCUACCCUUUGUUUUGAAUGCCCUUGUGUCGUGGUUUAUUUUGGCGUGCAAUAUGUUUCCACGGGUGGCCGGUUCUCGGUCGGCAAAGACGGGGUAGUGGUGAUUGUGGCCACAUAUGACAGCCGCGUAGUGGCUCGGCGUGGCUUGUAUUGUGCCCGAACCACUCUGAUUAACACUUGGGUCCUUUUAGCUGUUUGCGUCGGUCAUUGUUCAUGGUCCUUGGGAAAGAACGAAGCGCGUGUCUGGGCAAGGAAAUGCUCAUGUGAAGCCGUGAGUGGGGAACUAUGUAACACGGACACUCUAUGGAAGCUUUCGUGUCAUGUCCAACACUCCGACACGUGGUCAACUCUCUCCGACACGCUCUAACACUCGAGUCCAGAAUUCCGACACACAAUUCCGAUACGCACGGGGUCAAUUUUAAACAUUUAUAAUACUUGAGAGGUCAAAAUAUAAAUAUACACAAAAGAAGUAAUAAAAGAAGUAAUAAAAUUGCUAUAAAUAUACAUGCACAGGGUCAAUAUUUUUUUUUUUUCAGUUUUGUUUUUUUAGAAUUGUUUUAGUUUUUAUAAAAGUCUUUUACUAUGAAAGAAGUAAUAAAAAAAAAUGCUAUAUAUGAUAAAUAAACAAAUUUGAAAAUAUCAUUUCAGCCUUUUUCUUUAAAUAAUAUUUUUUUCUCUAAGUUUUGUGUAUUAUUGUAACAAAUUAAAAUAAUGAAUGAUAUUAUUUAAUAUUUAAUAUAUAACGUGUCGGAACGUGUCGAAAUUCUCUAUUUUUAAAAAAUGACGUGUCGGCGUGUCGUGUCGUGUCAUGUCGCGUGUCGCGUGUCCGUGUUGGUGCUACAUAAGUGGGGAGUGGGAAUUGGCUAGUGGGCUUGUGUUGUUAGGGGUCUGUUGGGCUCAAAAAGAUUUGGAUCUUGGUUUGAUUUAAAAAAAAAAAAAAACUUGGGUUCUUUUGGGCGUAAAGAGAGCUUACCUGUAGUGGGCUUAAGAAGAGAGAAAAGAGUUGGGCUGGUUUGGGGGUUUCCUUGCUUUGGGUUGGCCUUCCUUAUUAUUCCUCCUCGGAUGGGCCUCAUUUUGGGAGGGACCGGACUGGGCCUGAUAUGCAGGCAGAGUACGGCCGCGGGUUGGGCGACCCGGGUUUUUUUUUUUAUAUAAUACAAUAUUACUAUUUAAAUAUUUAAAAAAUUAACAAUAAAAAUAUUCCAAUAAAAAUAUUUCCAAAAAAUCAGGAAAAGCUUAAGAAUAGUCUUCGGAUGGUUUUUCCUUGAAGUAUUUGAAAAUCCUUAAAAGAAAACAAAAAAUAAAUUGUGUUUAAAUUCUUAAAAGCAAAUGUCGGAUUGCUAUUUGCACAUUUUCUUUAUUCCAAUUGCACCUUUAUAAUGCAUGGAUUGCUAUUUCUUUAGCUUGGUUAGGAAUGGAAUUCUAGGACUCGUGAUUAGUAUAAAAUGCUGAACAAAUGCUUUGCUUGAUGUUUAAACAAGUCUAGGUAUCGAAAGGAUAUUGAUUGAUUAAAUGGUGCAAUCAGAUCCUCGAUCCUAAUUUUUAUAGUUGCGUAAGAGUAAAAUAUUUCUCUCAAUAUUUUAUUUGAGUUUCCAAUUGACCCAUCAAAAACCAACUAAUUGUAAAUUCUUAAUGUAAAUGACUUGUAGGUUCAAAUUAGUGGGUUUGGGAGAGCUUAGACUAAGUCUAGCCUUGGUGCUAGCCAUUAACCUCCAUGCUUGCAGGAGGGCUUCAAAGAGGUCUCGAUAAUACUUAACUUAAACACCUAUAUUGAACUAGAGAAAAUUUGAAAAGGGAACUAUUCAAAUACCCUUUUCUUACAACACUACCAACAAGGAAAUAGCUUAAACAAACAGUUUACAAUUGACCAAUAAAUGGGCAAGUCUCCCUUACUUGUUAAGGUUAAGAGGGAUGGGUAAAGACCAAUUUUGAUGCAACUUGAAUAAUCAAGUCAUUCGCCUCUGCACGUAUAGCUAGAAAUUGUUGUGGAAAUGAUGGUAGAAAUUACUAUCUUCACCAUGAUUCAUAAUGUGCGAAUGGCUGCACAUCUGAAAAUGUAGUUGCAUCUGUGUCCACAAAAGAUUUGCUAGAUGUGAAACGAGAGACACGAGAUUUAGCGGCCUCCAUCUUUUCUUGAUUUUGUUGGAAGCUCGAAGAGCUUUGGAGCUUCUUGAUUCCCUCCAACUCCAUUACCACUUCUUUCAUUGUAGGCCGGUUCCUCCCAAUCAAGCUCAAGCACCUUCUUGUGAGGUUAGCAACGGCUGCAAUCUCUUCUUUCUUGCCUUCCUCCAUGACCCGAGUGUCAAUAAUAUCGAACAAACAUUUUCGCUCCAUUGAAAUUACAAAAUAGGCUGCGAGGCCCUUUUCUUCUUCUUCCCUAAGCCAAGAGAUCGGUAUUUGCCCUGUUAAGAGUUCAGUGAGGACCACUCCAAAACUGUACACAUCACUUUUAUCUGUGAAAUGACUUGUUUUGAAGUACUCCGGAUCCAAGUAUCCAAAAGUCCCUCGCACCAAUGUGGUUACAUGAGUUUGGUCGAGGGAUACGAACUUGGGUGUACCGAAAUUUGCAACUUUAGCAUGAUAUUUCUCGUCCAAAAGGAUGUUGGUGGACUUGAUGUCACGAUGAUAGAUGGGUAUAGAAGCUGCUGAAUUCAAGUAAAAUAAGGCUCCAGCGAUUUCGGUUGCAAUUCGUAGGCGUGUGUCCCAUGACAUGAGAAGAUCUUCAUUCAGGUCAUGUAGAUACUUGUACAGAGUCCGAUUUGGUAUGAACUCAUAUACUAAAAGUGGGAUAUCUGUUUCCACGCAAUAGCCCAUUAGCUUAACCACAUUCCUAUGAUCAACUUGCGAGAGAAUGAUGACCUCAUUGAUGAACUCUUCAACCUUUUCCUUGUCUAUUAGUUUUGAUUUCUUAACUGUAACUAUUUUUCCAUCAGUCAGCAUUCCCUUGUAAAACAACGCCUUGUCCACCUUGGCCGAGUAUCCUAUUCUCGUUGAAAUGGUCAGUGGCCUUCUCUAAAUUCUUGAAACUGAAUAAUUUGCUUUUCGCAACGUUACCUUGAGGUGAUGAUGAUAGAUGUUUUUGCAAUAAGGUGCCCCACUGCGUUUUAAAGUACUUCUUUUUUCGCUUAAUUUCCUUUUUUUUCUUGAUGACUCCGUAUAACCACCGAGAGAGAAGCAACACUUGCGCUAAUCGUCCAACGCCCGCUCCAAGGCCUGCAGUUCGGAAAUUUGGCAGAGGACAGAGUCAUAAAAAGCACCUGCUCUUAAGAAUGUUUACUAUUGUGCUAAAUUAUCCACGAAGGAACAGAGUAAUUUGGAAGCAGGAGAACAAUAGAUCUCAUAUUAAAUUAUGGAUAUUCUUUCCAUUGGCCAAGUAGAAAUUUCUUCCCAUCAUAGGAAGCUACCAACUAUAUAUGUGACAAACUUAGAUUAUGCAUAGCUUGAAAAUUGAAUUCAAAACUUCGAUCAAAUCAUGACAUGUAGAAGAGUAGAGCAAUACGUAAAAAAAAUUUUAAAAAAAAAGUGAAUGGAUAGUCACGUUGGAAUGAAUGGUAAGGUAAAACUUACUUAUGUACCUUUUCUGAACAUAAUUUAGGCUAUGCUGUUCUAUUUCUAUCAAUACUCUACAGCAUGAAGCGGCUCAAAUUUCUAAUUUAAAAGAUCUACUUACCAGUAAAAACGAAUUUGGCUGUCUUUUUAGGGUCGUCGCAGAAAUAAGUACCCAAUUUGUUCACACAAGUCCCCGGGCACAUAUUUGAAUCCUCAUAUUAAGUAAAAUCGAAGGAAGAAGGCCACAAAGACCAAAUUUAUUUUUCUAGGUUCAUCAUACUCGAUUCAAUUCUAUGUUACGACCGUGGUUUUCCAUUUAUAUUUUUAUUCAAUCAAUUUUAGGAAAAAUGUUCAACACGGUAUAUAUUUUGACACUUAACCACUUUGUUUAUUUUGGGCCUUUUCUCUCUCUCUCUCUCUCUCUUAGCAUAUGUCAACCUUCGUAUAUCUUUCAUAAUUUUAUUUUCUUUUCAAAAAAUAGCAAAAAUAACCAAUGGUACUCUCCUAUGUUGACACCUACCCACCGUUAGUAAUUAUUUUUGACCUUAUAGUUCUUUUUUAGGCCAUGUUCAGCUAUCACAUUUUUUUUUCUUCAGAAUUUUUUUUCCUAAAAAAAAUUGCAAAUAUAAGCAUUAUCAAUGUUCUUUCCAUGAUUACGUUUUUCAUUCUAUAUGUUCUGUUUCAAAUACAUGGAUUCAUCCGAAAGAAAGUGUCAAUAUGCUAACAAAAAUCGUUGAAAUAAUCUGUUAUGGGACAUUCUACAAACAUAAAACAAUUGCAAAGAAAAAAAAAUGAUGGCCCAUUUUUUAUAUAAAAAGAAUCAUUAAAUAACUUGAAAAAUUCUAAAGAAAUUACUUUUGAGGAAAAUAUCCACAUUCGUUUUGAUGUUAUGGAUGAUAUCACACGUGUGUCAUGGUUGAUUUUGUAUAUAAAGGAAAUGAUCAAAUCUCAUGCAAACACUUUAAAAGAAUGGUUUUUUUUUUAAAAAUAAGUUAAUUGACUUUAAAAGAAUGGUUAAUACUUAAAAAAAUCAGAAAUUGAUAUAUCCGUGACAAAUUUACCCAAAACUAAUUUUUUAAGAACAAAAAACCCAAAACUUGUAUACCUUUGAUAAUUUACCCCAAAUCGAUACGCUUAUAACAAAUUUACCAUUUUUAGCUUUUGUUAAAUUUUAUUCUCAAAUUGCAAAGUUCGAUAAUAUAUGACAUUUGACUAAUGUAUCAAUUUGAGAUUUUACUUUUUGUUUAUCACAGUUGUACCAUUUUUGUGGUUUUUUUUUAAUAUUAAUCUAAUUUAAGGGAAAAUAUAUAUUUGUGACAAAUAUACCACUUUGAGGUUUUUGAUAGUUGAACAAAUUAUUUUUGGGUAAAUUUGCCACACGUGUACCUGUUUGAGACUUUUUGCAAUCAUUUGUGAUAUAUUUAUUACAGGUGUACCAAUUUAGGGUUUUUCAUGAUUCAAAAAUUAGUUUGAGGUAAAUUCAUCAUAAGUGUAUUAGUUUAUAAUUUUUUAGGGUAUUAAUCCUUAAAAGAGUUAAGUGUGAAAGAAAGACCCAGAGUCUAUUUUUAAGUGUUAUGAAGUAUAUAUAUAAAUUAGUGGGGAGAUAUUUUCUAUGCAUCCUGGCAUAGUAACAAAAAUAUCACCACAUCUCAUGAUCCUUUAAAAAUGUACAUUUAAAUUUUACAUCAUCUUACUUAAACUACUAAAAAAAAAUAAAAAUAAAAAUACUUUCAUUAUAGGACAACUGUACAAUAAUAUCAUCCAAUUGAUUUUCUCCCGAUAUACUUACAUCUAUCGAAAGAGAAGGCUAUAGAGAGAUUUUUAUUUUUAUUUUUAAUGUCAGACGGAACCAUUUAAUUUUCGCGUGGACCAAACCAUUAUUUGUCUUGACAAUUAAUGGUCAAAACAAAUUCAAGUUAAAAAUUGAGUUAAAGGGGGAAGAGUUCAAAAAUAAAGAAUCAAAUGACUGAAAUUGCAUCAUGCUAUAUAACAUUUUCGAGGUUGGGAGUUUUAUCAUUCGUAGACUCCAUGUUUAAUUUAUUUAGAUGACAGGAUGUAAUAUUCACGAAUCUGGGUGCACCAAAGAUGGAUAGUCCUCGUUCAUAAAAUAUGUGCCCAAAUCAAACAGCAAACUUGAAUUCCGAAGAGCUGUGUACGAACAACAAACAUCCGAUCCACUGAAAAUGCAUCAGGCUAUAUAACAUUUUCUAAAUAGUGGGAUUUAUCAUUUAUAGACUCCCUGUUGCCUUUCUUGAAAUGAUAGGACGGGAUAUUCCCGAAUCUGGGUGCACAAAAGAUGGAGUCCUUAUUCAUAAACAUGACAGAUUGAAGAAAUCUACUUACCUAUGAGGACAGACUUGAUUAUCUUGCUUCCAUCUACACAGUCAUAGGAACCUCGUCGAUUCACACACUUUCUUCUUCCAGGGCACGGAUCGGUUGGACCUUUGCAUUCAUCCACAUCUGAACAAAAGAUGACAAUCAAAAUUAGUAGAGCCUCGUCUCUUUAUUGGGCGUUUAGUAUUGCAUGCAAAGCUACUUCAGCCUCCAAAGAGCUACUUCUCCUUAUUAGUACAGUGUUUCGAUGUUGCGUUUCCAAUGAUUGGUGUGAUAAUAUGUAACUGGUCUUACCUUCGCAUCCAGAUUUAAUAUAGGGGUUACCGGUGAAGCCCCCACGGCAAGAACACUGCAGAAAUGGCAUCUCCUUGGGAUACGGUGAAUUGAAGCUGAAAUUGCUGCAAUGAUAGGAAUCGCCAUGUUUGUAAAUCUCUGAGGCAGCUCGGGAGGAUUUAGCUAUCCCCCAUUCUAGCACCACUGGGAAAUGCCCGCUCGCCUUCAACUUAUUGAAGUCCAUAGUUGAAGAUGUGAAUUUCGACCUAUCUCCCAAGAAGGCAUACUCGCAUUGAUUCAUUGGUGAAUCCUUGUCGGGAUUGAAAGUGAUGGUGAAAGCCUGAAGAUCCGGGGUAAUCGUGGUGUGGCAGCAUCCAUCGCUGCCCGAACAAGUCAUCUUCCUAACAACCUUGUCAUCUUUGCAGCUAGAUUUGCAUCCUAUGAUUGACUUUUGGUUAUCCAAUAGAACGGCUAUGUUGCAACCGACGGCGGCCAAGACGUUCCUUGACUCGGAGAAGAUGAAAUGGCUCCCGUUCAAGCUCACAGGCAUAGAGCUUCCAUUUCCCCUGCAUGUCCCAUUAUGCCAGUAGAUUAUUGGAAGACUGACGGUGAUCAUGCCGUUCUUUCCACCAUGGGAAUUGGGUAGCGAAAUGUUGAGCACCCUCAAGUUAAGCUUCUUCAGCAUUGGGACGGCACUGUCGGUGCUCUCGUCGCAGAAGAUCUCGUACCACUCAUCGAGGAAACACCCGGUACCAAACCCGAAGGGAAAGGGAAUGGUGACGGCACCACAUGUUGAGAGGCAAUUACCCUUCACCAGGGGAGCUGCUAGCGAGGCUUCUUCAUGAAGCAGAAGCGACCCUAGAAGCAGAAGAAUCUGAAACAUUCUUGUUCCUGCUUCUUUUCUCAGGAAAUCGUGGACCUGUUCGAGGAAUGAACAGUGGGUGCAGCUACUUAGGGCACGUUUAGUAAAGUUUCUGUUCAAAAAUUGUUCUAGGGAACAGAAAUAGAAAAAAUUAUUUCUGCUCCAGGGAACAAUUUUUGAACAGAAGAAGGCGUUUGGUAAAUUUGUUCCGGAAAUAAAAAAUGAACAGAAACACGUUUGGUAAAUUUGUAUUCUUUUUAUGUUUCUUUUAAUUUUUAAUUUUUAAUUUUUUCUUUCUUUUUUUCUUCUUUUGGCCGGCGGCCUCACCCAGCCACGGCGAGCUACGGCGAGGCCGAGCUCGGGCUCACCCAGAUCCGGCGAGCCCGAGCUCGCCCAGCCACCGGCGAGGCUCGGCCUCGCCGGGCCACCGCCAGGCCAGCGAGCCUCGCCGGUGGCUAGGCGAGCUCAGCCUCGCCGAGGGCCGGCGACGCUCCAGCAAGGUCGCCAGACCUCAACGGCAUCGCCGGCCCUCAACGGCUAGUCGCCAGCCAUGGCCGAGGCCGGCAACCGGCCAAAGAAGAAAGAAAAAGAAAAAAAAAAAAAAAAGAGAAGAAAAAGAGAGGAGAGAGAAAAUUUGUUCUUAAAAAUUGUUCAAGAAACAAAAAACAUGUUUUUCUUGUUUCUCGUUUUUGUUCCAAAUGUGUUUCUGAAAACAAAAAAAUAGAUUUGGAACAAAAACGCAAACAAACGCGUUUCUGUUCUCUUUUUGUUCCCUGAAACAAAAAAAACAGAAUUUUUGUUCAUAAACAGAAAAAAGAAAAAAGAAAAAAAAGAAAAAAAAAACGUUAACAAACAGGGCCUUAUAUGCCACUUUCUCCCGUUGUCGUGGACGCUAUCAUAUCCGAGGAUACUUUUUGAGCAGAAUUGUCAAAGCUUCAAAUCCAUCCUGGAAUAGAAAAUUCUCGACUCCUAUUUUGGCGGCCAACUGAGAAGGAUGUCUCCAUCGGUUCUGUUUUGAUGGCAAUCGCGACUAUUUCUUUUCAGUCUCAGCUGAAUAUGAAAAUAGAAGAAAUUAACUAGUAGACAUAAAGAUAUUAAAAGUGAUGAGAUUUGGAGAUAUUUUCUUUUGUUCCCCGUUGAAAUGUCUCCUUUCAUAGAGGCUCUAAGUCAUUUUAAGAUUGGACGUCUUUGAAGGCUCCUCCUUUGUCCUGGAUCCACAUGAGGACGAGGGUUGAAAGGUCCUGUGAAAUGGGAUAUUUCGGAAAUAUAUGUGCAUGUCCUCGUUGCGUGUCCCACGGUAUUAUUCUUUCGCCAACGAUGACAACAACGAAACCGAAGCGAUACACUGGUUCAUACCUAAUAAGUAACUGUAUAUACCGUCGCAACACUUUGGUGAACGUAAUAAAAAAUGUCACAUCAGCAUUGUUUUCCUUAUUAAAUUUUAAAUUUUUUUUUUUUUUUUUGGAUGUGGUCCUUGUCCAGGUUGAGUGAUGUGUAGGUGAAAACACCCCGUGCCACUCGCACAUAACUGUAUAUACUACAGCAACGUAUUGGUAAAAAAAGUAUAUAAAAAAAAAAAAGGUCAAGUCGGCAUUUUUUUUUCUCUUAUUAAAUUUUCAAGUUCUUUUUUUAUGCGAUGCACAUCCACGUCAUCUGUUUUUAGAACACAAUUAAAAAAAAUGAAGCACAUUAAUAAUGCUAUGUUGGCUAAAUUGGACAGAAUUAAUGAAGAAACUUCAUCAUAUCAACUUAAUAAAUUUUAGGACUUGAUUCAAUUAUUCAAAAGUUUUAAAAUUCGAUUAUACUUUUGUGAUGAGUUUCAUGGCUCGUGGUGCACUCGUCCAAAACAAAUAAGCACACUAACCUUGUAGACAACCUUUAUUUUUUUUCUUUUCUUUUUUGGAGAAUUGAAAUAUCCGAUAGCUCGAACUUCUUAGGUCUGGUCGAGCUCAUAUAUAAGCUUUUCUCCAUAUCAUUCCUCCAUGGAGAUAGGAUCUUUUAAUUCCAUGCACUUUUUUUUGAGUCACAACUAUUAUAAGAAUCAAUGGAAGGUCUCAAACUAUCAAGUGGGUGUUGGCAAUAUUUAAAAUUUGAAAAAUUGAACCUCUGAACGAAGAUCCAUAUGCAUUCAUGCCAUGACACAAGCACCCAUACAUUGCCAAAUAUGACGGACGAUAUUUCAUUUUAAAAAUGGUUGCGAUUAUAUUUAUACAUUUUUUUUUUUGGGUCGAAAACAGCCAUAUAUUAAGCACGCAUCAUAGAGGUUACAGCAAGUUCGGAUAGUACAAGAUCUUGCAAGAAAGAGGGUAUCCGAGAGACCCAAUUCGGAGGAAGUAAGGAGGCCCGAUGGGCCUUUACAACAGAGUCCGCUAAAGUAUUGGCUUCUCUAUGACAGUAAAUCAGAUGGAGGUUAGGGCACCGUAGCUUCAAUCUUAGGGUUUCGUCGGGGAUAGGUCGAAGCUCCCAUGGUCGUCGUUCAGGAUCACGAAGCGCAUCCACACAUACCAAGCUGUCUGAUUCCACAAUGAUCCGAUCCAUCUCAAGACCUCGCUGGAGAAGAAAUUUCAGCGCGGAGUUGAAGGCAAUAGCCUCGGCUUGCAAGGCAGAGGAAACACGAACAGAGGAGGCGAAUCCAUCGAUCAAAUGGCCCGUUGAGUCCCUGCACACCCCAGCCACCGAAGCUGCGUCGAACGGCGAGAGGUAAGAUGCAUCAAUGUUGAUUUUUGUGACUCCAGGAUCUGGUGGGCGCCAUCUGUGGUUGAAAAUACGCUGGUUUGAAACAGGGCACGAUUUGGCGGAAGCUAAAAUACGGCUGGAAUGGGUCUCCGCGAUUGCUAGCUGCACAACUCGUUCGGCAUCCGGCUGCUUAUGGCGGAAUAGGAAAUUAUUAUGGGUUUUCCAGAUGUGCCAGAGGAUGGUUGCAACCGUAGCCAAAUUCGGUAAGUCAGUCUUACUGUCAACAAACUGGAGUAGCCAGCCCUCAAUGCGAUGCACCUCAGUUGUAGAAAUGUUGAUUGCUAGAUCUGGAUGCAUCCAAACAUCAUAGGUCCAAGGACAGAAUAAGAAAAGAUGUUCUGGGGUUUCGGGUACAUGAUGAUCGCACAUAUAACAAGUAGGCUCUGUCAAAAUAUGUCUCUUAUAUAAGUUAUCUCUAGUCGCUAAUGCAUUGCUACAGAUAGACCAGAGAAAUGACCUUAUUUUGGGCAUAGUUCGGAUUUUCCAGAUAGCAGUCCAUAGUCUGCGGGGUGGCUGAAAAGAGGAUGAGGCCUAGUUAGAGAUAGUGUUGUUUUGCUAGCGUUUGAGCUGAUUGUAGCAAUUUUUGACUGUGAAAAGACCAUCCUGCUUUCCGAUCCAUAUUAGUUUAUCCUGGGUGCAGUUAGGGCGAAUAGGAAUGGAUAAUAUCUCCUCCACUCUUCGAUGAUCAAAGUGCUGAGUUAAAAGAGGAGUAUCCCAUGAGUUUGUAGCAGAUAAUAUAAAACCAGAAACCCAUACAGGUUCAUCCCUAGGAGCAGGACCUCCAAUAACACCACUAGGUAACCAGGGAUCCUCGCAAACUUUAAUCUGAGUGCCAUUACCAACAGACCAUAAAACUUUAUCAGCAAUAGAUUCCCGACCUAAUAAAAUGCUCUGCCAACCCCAAGAGGGUCUAGAACCUUUAGUAGCAUACCAGAAAUCCUUAUCUUGAAAAUAUACACCUUUGAGAAGCCUGGUAUAUAAUGAAUUUGGAUUCUGAACGAGACGCCGAGCUUGUUUACCCAGGAGAGCUCUAUUAAAAACCAUAAGGUCACGAAAUCCUAAUCCCCCUUCAUCUUUCCUUCUCUUAAUGCACUCCCAGCUCUUCCAAUGUAUGCCUUUCUUGCUAUAAUCUGACUGCCACCAGAAUUUAGCUACUUUUUGAUCUAUUGCUUUACAAAUAGCUGUAGGGAUUUUGAAAAUCGACAUGGUGUAAUGGGGUAUAGCUUGCACAACAGAUUUUAUAGUAUCUCAUUUAUCUAUCAUGAAACCUUGUGUUGCUCUCCCGAUGGAGCCAAACAUUGACUAGCCCACGUAAAUAUGAUGAUGUUUCAUUAGGAAAGUUGGGUCCAAGUCAGAAUGUUCAAUAGACACAAAAAAAUUGGUAUAAAAGAUAGUUAGGCUGAGUUGAAGUAGAUUGAUGGCUACAAAAGAAGGAAAUAUAAAAAUCAACAAAUUUGAUGGGAAGGACAUCGAUUUUCAAAAAUGCCUAUUACGGAUAAUAGGUACUCGAGGAAUCUAUGCUUAUCUUUGUCUAGGGAGAACCAGAGUGGAUUAACCAAGCAAGUUAGGAUUUAAUGGACACACAUGUGUUGUUUAUUACUCGAUUGUCACGUUGAACAUUGCGGAAGAGAAGACCCUACAAAUUUAAUGAAUGUCUGUCAAACAUAUAUGAGAAGCCUCUGCAAUCAACAAUGUCUACUCAAUAUGACUCCGUUUCACUUAAAAGAUGGGCAAAGAUGCAUCGUGGCUGAGCAUUUUAGUGAAUUCAAUUGGAGAUUGACUUCGCUAAUAAUGAAUGUGCUUGGAUUCUAUUAUCCUAGUUGCUUGAUAGUUGGAAUACUAUAAUUCCUCUAUGUAUAUAAUAAAGUUAUACAUGCUCAUUGAAUGGCGCAAUUUUCGUGCAAUUACGCUUAUUUUAUUUUGCAUUCUGUGUGUGCGUUGUUUUCCUUUUACUUUCAAUUUCUACUAGUUCUGCAAAUUGGGCUUGACAGUUGAAACACCGAGUUCGAUAUGAUUUUCACGUUUCGUAUGCGUAUAGACCUAAUACUACGGAGAAAAAGGGGAUAUCGACAGAGACCCUUAAUAGUGUUAUUUACGUGAAAGAAGGGGCUGAAAUUUCAUGUACUGUACGCAUUAUUUCAUUACACACUCUGUUACUUCCUGGUAUCUGAUUGGGAUGCUUCCUUGAUGAUAGAAAGAUCAAAGCUCCAAAGGCAGACGACGCCAAUUUAAGCAGCCGAGCGCGACUUUUCCCACUGUCGUGGCCAGAACUUGGUCCUCAUCUUUUCUCACGGGAAAAGACUGGGAGCAUUAUCAAGAUGAAUUAAAGUGAUUUAUCGCGGGUGGACUUGGACUUUUGAUGGCCCCACUCUCGUAUUCCUACUGCUUUUCUUCUCCUUUUAGAAAAAGAAAACCAUUUUCCACAACAAGAACGUCUUUUUAAAUGGUGAAAUCAUUCAAUAAAUUUAGACUACGACGACCAAGACGUCUUUUUCUUCUCUCUCGACGAAUGAAAUGGCUGGGCAUCUUUUCGAUCUACAAAGGUGAACCAAAAAUCACUUUAUUAAAGCAAAAGUGGUUUCCUCUUGACUUGUUUAAUAGUAGUGGGUGUGCGUGUACCACGGCCUCUCCCCCAUUAUUGAAGCGGAAUUCAUUUUUAUUGUUCUUAGUCCAACGCUGUUCGUGCUCAAGCAAUCAAUAAAAGCACUUCGGAAUGCUAUUUUGGCCCCCCAAAAAAGGAAAAAAGACGUAUGUGAAUCAUGAGAGAAGUCUUUUGCUUCCACAAUGAAAGAGAUUCCGCCCAUCGUGCACUAGAAUUGAAGAAAGCUAAAUGCGAUUCUUGCUUUAAACUGGUCUUAUUAAUUCGCUACUGCUCUUGAUCAUGCUACAAAAAGUAUGCUGAACUAUUGGCACAGUUUUAUUUUUUUUAUUUUCAGUAAAAAUAAAUAUAACAAACUAUUUAUGGUAUCGACGAGAGGAGACAGACAAUAGAGCCGAUUGUUUUGGGAAAAAAAAAACAGUUAGGUCCAACAAAUAUGUUCAGUCAGAAAAAGUUCAUGCAUUUUUAACAUGCAUAGUCUUCCCCAAAGGAAGGACAGUACCAAUGGGCCGUGUGAAUAUCUGUUGACAUCUAAAUUUUGGCGACCCAUUUAGACAUUUAUCAUAUUAAAAAAUUAGGGGUUAGUUUUAUCCCUAAAAAAAAAAUAUUAAUUGCAUAGCAUAUAAUUUUAAUUGCACUUAUUCAUUUGUUUAUCACUUUUGCAUUUGAUCAUCAGCAGAUGAGCUUCAAAUUUUAUGAAUUGACAAUUCGGUAUUUUCAUAAAUGAUUCAUAUUAUUCUUCUAAUAUUCGGUAAAUAUAUCAUAUAUUCACGUGAUUUAUACAUUAAGGCUCCGUUCGUUUCGCGGAAAAUAACUUCCAGGAAAAUAUUUUCCGAAUUUUCCGGUGUUCGGAUGGCGGAAAAUACACGGUCAACGGAAAAUAUUUUCCGUUGACUGGAAAAUCCUUCUUGAAAUCACGGAAAAUGAUUUCCUCUUUUGAAAAGAGGAAAUCAUUUUCCGCACCUCUCGCGAGCUCAUGCUGCUCUCUCCUUCCUUCAUCAGUUCACGUUCUCUCUCUCUUUCUUGCUCUCCCUGCUGCAAUGGCUUCGACAACGUCCUUCUCCGGGAUCAACCUCCGCCCUCCCCGGCCGCUCCUGCCCGCCUGCUCCGGUCGGGGCGCCGCCGCCGCCGCGCUCCGCUUCUCCGGCAGCUCGAAGCCGCUCUCCGCCUCGGGCGGGCGCGGCUCUGCCUAGCCCGAUCUGUGGAAGCCCAGCUCGCCCGAGCUCGGCGAGCUCGAGCCUCACCAGAUCGGGCGAGGCGAAGCCUCGCUGGCUUGGGGCGGAGCUCUGGCCUCACCCGAUCAAGGCGAGCCCGAGCUCCGCCGCCAGAUCCGGCGAGCUCGCGGCUCGCCAGACCUCUGGCGAGCUCGAGCAAGGCCCGAGCCCCGCCCAGCUCGCCGGAUCUGGCGACCGGACCUUGGUCGGCCGGAUCUGGCGACCAAAUCUUGGUCGGCUCGCCAUCUUCGGGCGUGCGGCGGCGGAGGAAGGAGGAAGGAGGAGGAAGAAGGAGGAGCGGCGGCGGAGGAAGGAGGAAGGAGGAGGAAGAAGGAGGAGCGGCGGCGGAGGAAGGAGGAAGGAGGAAGGAGGAGGAAGAAGGAGCGGCGGCGGAGGAAGGAGGAAGGAUGAAGGAGGAGGAAGAAGGAGGAGCAGCGGUGGAGGAAGGAGGAAGGAGGAGGAAGAAGGAGGAGCGGCGGCGGAGGAAGGAGGAGCGGCAGUGAAGGAAGGAGGAAGGAGGAGGAAGAAGGAGGAAGAAGAAUGAAAAGAAAAGGAAAAAAUUAAAAAAAAUUAAAAAAGAAAAAGAAAAAAAUUAGUUAACGAACGGUGGAAAAUGUUUUCCACUCAAAAUUUAAGAAUUAGCCGAACACCGGAAAAUAUAGCCAUUUUCCUGGAAAAUAACUUCCGGGAAAAUAUUUUCCGGAGAUGGUCAAUUUUCCGUGAAACGAACGGAGCCUAAGUGAUAUUUUAUUGAAGAUUGGAAGUUUAAGGAUGAAAUAUCAAGAGGGGAUAUCGCACGUGGGGCAUAUCUUGAGUGAUAUAUUCAAUGUUUCAAGACAAGAAAUACUUCAUGGUAGAUUUCAUAUGUGAGCUGGAAAAGAAAAGAAACAGGAAAUAAAGAAAAUUGGCUUACAAAUGCAUGAUACGCAAGCGUGAGGAAGGAAAAGGAAUUUCAAUAUAUAUCAUGGAUGCUCUCAGACAGGAUUUUGUGCGUCCAUUGGAGCCAAAAAAGAAAAGAAAGAAAUAAAUUAUAGGCCGGGAGAUUUCGGUCACGUCCUUGACCUAUAAAAGAUGGGCGCACUAUAGACAAAAGGGGGGAUGGCUACAAUUCUGAGAGCAUAGAGAGACACACGUGAGAAGGGACGAUUGAGAGAAGGCACGCUCGCGAGAGCUGAACAAGUCACGGUUGAAACCCCUUCACGGCCAUGAAUUUGUCAAGUUCGUGGCCGUGCCUCGACGCCGACCCUGCUGCCAAUCGUCCGUUGCAUUGACAACGGCCAGCUUUGUCACGAUCCUCUCCGAUGAUGAAGUAGCAGCGUGCACUCCCUCAUCUGGCGGUGAUCAACAAUCACGAAGUUUUGGAGGCCACACGUUGAUACCCGGCCAUAAUUGAAAAAAAAAGGAACGGCAGCCCAAGAGCGAGAGAAAGAAAACAGAGAGAGUCCUCUCUAGGCUGAACCAAGGAGACUCCACGUUGCGCAAGGUCCCUCGCCGCCGCAGUGCUGUGCCCGAGCCAUCUGAGUUGCCAUUGCUGCAACGUCCUUGCCGCUUCGCCCCUAGCAGUAACGACAGACUUGCUGCCGUGACCUCACUGCUACCACGAUAAGAUGUUGAUCUGGUGCUGCCCUCCUGCUGUCGUGACCAAGCCUUAAUGAGUCCCGCCCAACUGAGACGCUGAUGGAGCUGCUGCCUUCCUCGUGCUCGACUACCGUUUGAUUCGCUGCUCCCCCAACGAGACCGUGUUUUCUCCUUGCAUCAAUCACCCGAGCAGUCAUCACACCCUCGAUGAUCCACGAUCUGCCGCUUCUACUGUAUCGCGAACCAGCGUACCCUAGAGAUGCUUGAACCCCCGUCAGUCUGGUUUAGAGUGAACGAAGACUCCUGCGGAUUCCAUCUAGUGUGAAGUUUUCGCCGAGGUCCAGCAAGGCCAAAAAUCUCCCGAACAAUGUGAAUAUCUCGUGGUAUUUUUGCGGCCACCGCUUGCAAGCUUGAAGUCCACGGUCAAAAGAAUGAUUAUAAUCUCGUUUGAAUAAUUCUUAGUGGUGGAUUUGUUUCUCUUUUAAGUUUUGUCCAGAUUUUACUAUAACAUUGUGGGCUUUGUGAUUUUGUUCCAUGCAAGCAAAAGAACGGUUCCUUUUGGCGGUGAGAUCACGAAGAAUUCGGGUGCGUGGCGACUAUGGACAGUGCGGUCCACCGUGUAUACCGCCGACCGCUGACCACCUCACACCGAGUCCCAAUUGCUGGCCACCCACUGAGAAUGGCAAGCCACCACGGUUCGCGGUCCCAAACCGCGAGUUGCCCGUCGACGUUGAUGCCAAGCUCGAGCCAGCGUUGAUAAUCCCUUUAAGCCGAUCUGUUGAAAGUUUCUAUUUUCGCAGGUUCAUUGGCUGUGACCCACCCGCAUCGUUGCUCACCAACCUCCACCAUCGAGUGCCGCAACCCUUUCCCGGUCAUCUGUCAAGCGGAUUCCAUUCGGUUUAAAUUUGGUAACAUUAGUUGGAGAACUGGGUAAUUAUCUUAUCUAAAUUUCAUUUGGAUAUUCUAUUGCCUAAUGCAUGCCUUUCAGUAUCUUACGUGCACAUUUGAAUGAUAAGCAUACUUCCAGUUAGGAUUUAUUGCCUAAUUCGCAACCGCACACGGAUUUUUUAUUUCAUCUAUAAGGCUUUAGAUGGAAUAAUUAAUUACGCGGGAAUAAAAUUGAUAUAUUGAUCUUUAAGGCUUAAGAUCAAUUUAUCGAUUUUACUAGCGAAAUAUCAUCCCUUAAACUGGAUAAUGUGCGAUAUCUUUUAUGAUUUUGAAUGGUCUAUCUUGUCUUGAUUGCUUUAUUUAUCUUGAAAUAUGUUUGAGUUAGAAUAUUGCAUGUUUUAGGGUUAUUUGCAUAUUUAGGUUAAGCAUUCUAUUUAUCAUGAAUUUUCAAAAAAAAAUCAAAAAAAUCAAAAAUCAAAUCAAUCCAUUUAGGUUGCUAGAUUUUAAUUUGAAUUGCAUGUUUAACUAUUUGGCAAUUAUUAAUUUCGAAAAUUAAUAAAUAAAAAACAAAAACAAAAACAAAAAAAAAAACAAAAAUCAUCAUGCACUUGUCAUGUAGAAUUAGGGCAUAUUUUGUACGUCAUUGCAUAUUAGGGUUAAAUUGCACUUAGUUUAAUUUUAGAUAAUAUUUUUCUUAAUUUAUUAUAAGUUUAGGCAUUUUCUUAAAUAGAUUGCAUUUUAGGAUUAUUUGGGUUAAGAUAAUAUUUUAGUUUAGAUUAGGAUUUAGCCCAACCUUAUUCCUAAUACAAAUUGAAUAGGAUCUUAAUUUAAUUAGAUAAUUUUCACAUUUUUCUAAUUUCGAAUUUCAUAAAAAAUACAAAAAAUGUCUUAGAAUAAAUUAGUUUCAAUCUCUAAGAUAGAUUGCAUUCUUUUAAGGAAAAAGAAAAUAAAAGAUGUCAUGCGCAUGUCAUUAAGAUUAGAUUUAUGAAAUGCAUGCCAUUUAGUUACUGUUGCUAGGUCCAUUCAAUUAGUAAUUUCAUGUCAUUAGAAUUAGGUCAUUUAAUUAAUAUUGCAUUACAUAUUGCAUGAUUUCCAUUAAUUAAGUGAAAACAAAGAAAAGAAAUUGCGUGUUAAUUAGAAAUCAUAUUUAGGAUUGUCGAUGUGAAUUCUGAUUUAACAUUGCAGAUGCUUUCGUUGCUUUAAGGUAAGUUCCUGCAAUUUAUUCAUUGCUUUCCUUGAAUGUUAAAUUGGUGGUUUGCACACCCGCAUGAUCACAUCACAUGUUAAGGAAAUAAAUUUAAAAUCAAUCCAAACUGUUUGCCAAACAUUUUUCAAAAUAAAAAGAAAGGUACCGAAAGGGCAUUAGAGAAAUCUAGUGUAACCAAGUCCUCAUACCCAUAGUCUCUGGUUCGUAGGAGUAAAGUAAAUCUCCCGUUACUUUGCUUGGGUUUUUAAUCGACCUACCAAAAAAUAAAUUAGUGGCGACUCCUAAUUGAAAAUCAAUUACAUGUUAAGAACUUAAACCUAAGUCACGAAUUGGUAUGGGUUUGGGAGAGCCCGAGUUAAGUCUAGACUUAACAAUCCAUUAGCCAAAUCCUAGGUGGACCACCCGAAAAUUUGGUCGCGACAAUAUCUAAUUGGCUUUAGUAUCUGGAAUUUGCUGGUUCAACUUCAUACAUAAGAAGAGAAUUUGAAAUGCUGAGCGAGUUCGAUAUGAUUUUCACGUUCUGCCUAAACCUAUGGAGAAAAGGAACAGGGUUCGAGUCCCAUAAUCCUAUUCAUUAAAUGAAAGAAGGGAAGAAUUUUCCGUGUGAUGUACUUGCAGAUGUAUUUUUGGAUCAUGCAUCUGUUCAUAACUUGAGAUAUACUCGAGCUUGAUUACUUUAAUAAAGUAGACUCCAUCCUGUUCCUGAAACUGAAAUCAAUUUGCAGCUCUUUUCGGCACCGAAAACUAACCGGCGAAUUGAGCUGGCCAAAGGUUGAUACAAACAGGACGCUUGCUUCAUAAGAGUACGAGUGCAACUCUAUUGUAUUCCUCACCAUGAGUUACAACACUGUCAAGAUAAAUGAGGGAAACCAAUUUCCAAUUUGUUGACUAGUCAGAAAUAGCAUGUUCCCCCAACUUGUUGUCCAGGCCACGAGGUUUCUUCUCUCGUCCUCCACUCAGCAAAGAGAUUGGGUUGUGUCGCAUAAAGAGUUCAACAAGGACCCCUGCCAAAUUGUACACAUUAUUAGGAUUCGGCACACAACCACAAGAAAAAAGAAAAAAAAAAAAGAGUAAAGCGAGAAAGAAAAUUCGAGACACAAGAUUUAUGCGGGUUUACUCUAAACUAGGGUGAUGUCCAUAGAAUUCUGUUAUAAUUCGCAUAUUGCACCUUUUAGUUACAUUGCUCAAUUACAAGAGAAAGAGCACGACUCCCAUGCUAUCUUGUCAAUAGGGAGUACAAACUAGCCUAACACAUGUAUCUUUUUGUCAGUGAAUUGAUGUGUUUGGAAAUAAUCACAAGCCUGUUCAUGUGUUGCUAGAGAUUCUUGUUGGGGGAUGCUAAAAAGGACCGCCUUCACUGUCGUUCCCGCUGUGAAUUGCCGCAAAUCUGAAAAUGUUGCUACAUGUUGGUCCACAUGAUAAGAUUUCAUUGAUCAUAGAAAUGCAAGGCUUGAGCAUGUCAAGUCCCAUCAAUGCGGAACCAAUUUGCACGUAAACAAAUGAGGGAAGACCGGCAUGGUGGGAUCCAAUGGAUGACUUGUUGAUAGCGGCCCUUGUGGUCUUCAAUAACGUUAUCACCUGUGAACAUUUAUUAGGACAGGCCGUUGACUUAAAGUCUCCGAUGACGAUAGAAUAGAGAGACCAUCGAUCCUUUUCUAGCUGUUAUGCAGAAGAUGACUUUCCUUGGCCCACAAGCUUCUAGUUGGCAGGCCAUCAUUAAGCUUGGCUACGUCAUUGGUCUUGUGUCGACCUAUCUUCCACGGCAUCAAAAGUUAUCACUGCUCCAUCAUCAAGGCGCUGACGAACUUGUGCUCAUAGGCACUGCUACCUCCCGCGGACAACAUUAUGGACUCCUGAUGCGUCCGAUGGGCUAUAUCUAGGGUCUCAGAUGGUGCUGAGUAACUGUAACUCACAUGUAAUCUCUUGUAGUGGAUGCUUGGCUACUCGACCCUUUCAUUUUUGUGAUAAUCAUUCACGGUCAUUUGUGUGAUAAUCAUUUCGUGAUUUCUGAGUCAACACAAGCCGUUUCCCCAUUUGCUAUAUGAUAAGAGCUUGUGAAUUGGAAAUGAAGAUGCAUCUGGCAGAUGGCCUAUUGUGAAAAAUCCUCACAAAAAAUAUCACAAUAGUGGGACGAGUACAAGGAAUGGAGUAGCGUGCCAUUUAGGCCUAGUAGAACGCGCAGCACAUCAGCACCAUUUCCGGGAUUUUUAUCCAACGAAACAAUACAAUUUUUUAUCAUAAGAUUCUGAUCGACAAUUCAUAUUUCAAUUUAAGAUUUCUAUUCCUGAUUAUGCCUUUUGGGCAAGAACGCUUUGCCAAUUCCUUUUCUCCGGCGUUUCUAGUCCAGGCGAAUGGAUGUGGGCUUGAGGGGGCCCUGGCUGCAAGAGAGGCCCAAUUAUGUGGAUAGUGAACUAUUUUGGGGAGAAGAUUUAGGUUUCAGAGAAGCAUACUACGAACAAUGCGGCCAUUUAUGAAACUUUCCAUUAUAAAAAAAAAAAAUGUUCCAAACUUAUGGAAAAUAAAGGAUUCACACAGAUAGUAAUUGCCAAAAUUAGAAAAAAAAAAAUUGAAAAAAGAGAAGACAAUGUUGGCCAUGAUCCGACUUUCUCAGUUGUAGUUUUGGAGGUGAUUAUUAAAUAAACAUAGAAUUAUUGAAUAGAAAAGUGGAUAAAAUAUUGAAAAAAUCACAAUUCUUGAUAGUUUCCAGCAAACAUAUCUAAUGCACACGUGAAAAUACAAUCAUCUGUAUAGAAAAAUUCUUACUCAAAGAAAUUGGUAUGUGUGAAGUUCGAGACGAAAACAUAAGAAGUAUACAACUCAAGGAGCAUAUCUAAGGAGAUUUCAUCUUGUUGAAAAGCAGUGGUUGGGAAAGUUCGAACUACAAAAAAAUCUGUAGUUUAAAUUUCAUGAUUUUGUGCUCAAUUUAUAAUUCAAUGUUGAAGACAUAAAACUAAUUCAAUUUUGUGCUCAAUUUAUAUGCGAUUGAUUUUCAGUGUUUUUGUUUAUUAUUGAGAAUUGGCAAGUAACGUUUGCAAGGAGGGGGACAGAUAAUAGUGUAACUACUGGGGUUCUUUCAUGUUGAUACAGGUAGUUCAGGUGGUGAGUUUCAAUACAUUAGGUAGUGAGGAUUGAAUGAUAUCUUGAUCUAAGCAACCGGAGCAUCAACAGCCGACAACAAUCCUCCGUGCCAUCAGAGAGUUAGUGUGAUCCUCAGGGAAGAGUCGGGUAAGGCAAAUGCAAGAUCGUUUUCUUUUCCAGAAGGGGAACAUCUUUCUUGUUUUUUUUUCCCAAGCAAGUAACAAUCUAACUGAACCACGAAGGCUGGUGCGCCGUGUGACUAGUGUAAGUUCUACAACAAUCGAAUUGACAACAAGUAUUCGAGGAUCUCAAAGACAAACUAAAAUCACAGCAUCUUGCUCAAGCUAGAUGAUUGCAAAAUUGGCAUAUACACGCUAAGAUAAUGCCUAGCCAAUUCAAUGAUUGGUAUGAUUUCACAAUUUAUUGAUCCCCAACAUCAAGAAAAAGUUCUUUAUCAAUAAGCAAUAAAUAACUAACCAAAAUCCUCCUAUUAGUAAACUAACAAGUUUUCCUCCCUUCUCUCUUUUCUCUUUCUCUUGCUUCGAAGACCGAUUUCCAUGACAAACACAACAACAUGGCUCAUAAGAAUGAGAGGCAGGAUUGAUCUUCACCAUGUUGCACUAGGAAAAAGUGGCUGCACUUCCAAAAAUGUAAUGACAUCCACAUCGAUGUUUGACUUGCUAGAUUUAAAAGCAACAGCGUAAGAUUCAGUUGCCUCAUGGUCCUCUUGAUCUUGCUGAGUACUCAAAGGAUAUUGGAGCUUCCUUAUCCCCUCCAACUCCUUUGCCACUUUUUUCAUUGUAGGAAGGUUCCUUCCAUUCAAGUUCAAGCAUCUUUUCACAAGGUUAGCAUCUGAUUCAAUCUCUUCCUUCUUACCUUCUUUCCAAACUUGAGCAUCAACAAUGUUGAACAAGCAAUUCUCCUUCAUCGAAAUUAUGAAAUAGGUUGUGAGGCUUCUUCCUUCUUGUUCCCUCAACGACGAGAUUGGCCUUUGUCCCAUUAAGAGUUUAACAAGGACAACUCCAAGGUUGUAGACAUCGCUUUUGUCUAUAAAUUGACUUGAUUGGAAAUACUUUGAAUCUAGGUAGUCAAAAGUUCCCUACACCAAUGUGGUCACAUGGGUUUGAUCGAGCGAAACAGACUUAGAAGUGCCGAAAUCCGCCACUUUUGCUCGAUAUUUCUUAUCCAAGAGGAUAUCGGUGGACUUGAUGUCUCGAUGAUAUAUCAUAACAGAGGCUACUGAAUGUAAGUAGAAUAAGGCUCCAAUAAUUUUAGUGAUUGCACGUGUCCCACAAUAUGAGAAACUCGGCAUUUGGGUCAUCAGAUAUUGGUAUAGAGUUCCACUUGGUGUGAACUCAUAUUCUACAAGUGGGACUUCUGUCUCCAAGUAACACCCCAAUAACUUGACCACAUUUUUAUAGUAAAUUUGUGAGAGAAUUAGGACUUCAUUUAUGGACUAUUCGACUUUUCCUUCGUCUAAAACUUUUGAUUAAUAGCAACUAUUUUUCCAUCGGUUGACAUUCCAUUGUAAACAAUCCUUUGUCCCCCUUGAUCGAGAAUCCUAUUGUAGUUGAAAUUGUCAAUGGCCUUCUCUAAAUCCUCAGCAUUGAACAAUUUGCUUUUCUCAACGUUGCCUUCUGGGAAAGAUAGCUCACUUUUCAACAAAAAGCCACCAUUGUGUUUGAAAUACUUAUUUUCUCUUCUUGAUGUAUCUGUACAACCUCCAUAAGAAAAGACACAAAAGUAGUGCCCCAAGGCUUGCCCUAGCCCCUGCAUUGUAAAAGUUUAAGGUGCAUAAGUGAGAAAAUUGUACUUGCUUGUCAAAAAAUCUAUGAAAGGCACUUAUCAUCAAAGUGAAUCUAAUUAAAAGGAAAACAUAUAGGAGUGAUUAACCUAAAUCUCCUUUCAUGCGGAUUUUCUCAACAACCACGAAAAAAUAAUUCAUCUUCUGUUUAAGUUCCAUCCCUCAAAAUUUUUAUUUAUAUAUCUGCACCAUACAAUUGAUCUCCCUAGCAAGGAAUUUAGGAAACCACUGAUGAAAGUGAAAUAGUUCAUAGCAGCAUUCAUCUUUAAUUGUAAUAAUUGCAAUUCAAAUAUACCAUAAUAAAUAGGAAUCUUGGAUAUCUUUUGAUAAAUAUGAAGCAGUGGCAUUAGAGAAGCUCAAGCAUUUUCUUAUCUAUUGAAGUAUUAGUGUUAAAGAAAGUUUUGAGGUUGUUUUAAUAGAUACUAUUAAUUGGAACUUAUCUAUAACCAUCACAAGGAGAAUGCGCAAUCAUGUUAAAAUGAAGAGUACGGUAACACUUAUUUUGUACCUUUUGUGAAUCUAAUUCAUCCUACAUUGCACUCUUUCCAACCACACUAACAGCAUGAAGCUGUAGGUUAAAAGAUCUACUUACCGAUAAGAAUGAAUUUAUCUUUCUUUCUACCAUCGAUGCAGUAAUAGGAGCCCAAUUUGUCUACACAAGUCCUUGGGCACCUAUUUGAACCUUCACAUUCAUUAAUAUGUGAUGACAAAUAUAGAAUAGAGUAUAUUAGCAGUGAAACGCACCUCUUUGGCUAAAAGUAGCGAGACUAGUAGGUCGCAUUUUCUCACAAAUUGUUAAUUCCAUGGCUAAAAAUAUGAUACGAAAAGACUGUCAUGUUCCCCUUCAUUUCCAGGGAAUUAUUAUCAAUAUGAUCGAUUUUGUUUGAAAUUGAAUUCACUUCGUAUAAUCUCGAACAGAAAAAUAGAAAAGGAAAGCUUAAAAGCAUGUAUGUGAUCAUUUAACAGUGUGAAUGCAUUAUUUUCAGAGAAAAAUGAUCUCGAACAGCGUGUGUACUAAGGUCGCAGGGUCUUGGGUGUCGUUGGCUGCGAAUCCCGGCACGAGCUCUGGUUCGGACGUCCCUGAUUCUCGCCCCUCAGUUGGCGUAUACUAAAUGUUCGAUAAAUUGCCUAAAUUAGACGCCCGUUCUUGGUCUUCAUUGUGCCCGAAACUUGCUGUGUUUUUGUUUAUACUGAGCAUAAAUGAGUUGCCAACCUCGCUCAUUCAUUACUUGCUGAUUUUGGUCUGUCUCGGACAAGUUCGAAACGUCCUCUUAGCUGACGCCCUCCGCCUGUUUGAUGAAAUGUCUGACUGAAUGUACGCGUUUAUUCUUAAGUCCUCCGUCCGUUUUUAGUGUUCGUGAUUGGUCAAAUGCGUUCCGGUAGAUUCCCACUGCUACCCUUUGUUUUGAAUACCCUUGUGUCGUGGUUUAUUUUGGCAUGCAAUAUGUUUCCACGGGUGGCCGGUUCUCAGUCGGCGAAGACAAGGGGCAGUGGUGAUUUUGGCCACAUAUGACAGCCGCGUAGUGGCUCAGCGUGGCUUGUAUUGUGCCCGAACCACUCUGAUUAACACUUGGGUCCUUUUAGCUGUUUGCGUCGGUCAUUGUUCAUGGUCCUUGGGAAAGAACGAAGCGCGCGUCCGGCCAAGGAAAUGCUUCUGUGAAGCCGUGAGUGGGGAAGACGUGGGAAUUGGCUAGUGGGCUUGUGUUAAUAGGGGUCUGUUGGGCUCAAUAAGAUUUGGAUCUUGGUUUGAUUUAAAAAAAAAAAAACUUGGGUUCUUUUGGGCUUAAGGAGAGCUUACCUGUAGUGGGCUUAAGAAACGAGAAAAUAGUUGGGCUGGUUUGGGGGUUUCCUUGCUUUGGGUUGGCCUUCCUUAUUAUUCCUCCUCGGAUGGGCCUCAUUUUGCGAGGGACCGGACUGGGCCUGAUAUGCAGGCCGAGUCCGGCCGCGGGUUGGGCGACCCGGGUUUUUUUAUUAUUAUAUAUAUACUACAAUAUUACUAUUUAAAUAUUAAAAAAAUUAACGAUAAAAAAAGAAAAUUCCAAUAGAAAUUUUUCCAAAAAAUCAGAAAAAGCUUAAAAAUAGUCUUUGGAUGGUUUGUCCUUGAAGUAUUUCAAAAUCCUUAAAAGAAAACAAAAAAGAAAUUGUGUUUAAAUUCUUAAAAGCAAAUGUCGGAUUGCUAUUUGCACAUUUUCUUUAUUCCGGUUGCACCUUUAUUUCUUUAGCUUGGUUAGGAAUGGAAUUGUAGGACUCGUGAUUAGUAUAAAAUGUUGAACGAAUGCUUUGCUUAAUGUUUAAACAAGACUAGAUAUCAAAAGGAUAUUGAUUGAUUAAAUUGUGCAAUCUAAUCAUCAAUCCUAAUUUUUCUAGUUGCAUAAGAGUAAAAUAUUUCUCCUAAUAUUUUAUUUGAGUUUCCAAUUGACCCAUCAAAAACCAACUAAUUGUAAAUUAUUAAUGUAAAUGACUUGUAGGUUCAAAUUAGUGGGUUUGGGAGAGCUCAGACUGAGCCUAAACUUGCUACUAGCCAUUAAUCUCCAUGCCUACAGGAGGGCUUCAAAGAGGUCUCGAUAGUACUUAACUUAAACACCUAUACUGAACUAGAAAAAAAUUUGAAAAGGGAACUAUUCAAAUACCCUUUUCUUACAACACUACCAACAAGGAAAUAGCUCAAACAAACGGUCUACAAUUGACCAAUCCAUGGGCAUGUUCCCCAUUACUUGUUAAGGUUAAGAGGGAUGGGUAAAGAUCAACUUUGAUGCAACUUGUAGAAUCGAGUCAUUCGCCUCUACAUGUAUAGCUAGAAAUUGCUGCGAAAAUGAUGGUAGAAAUUACUAUCUUCACCAUGAUUCACAAUGUGCGAAUGGCUGCACAUCUGAAAAUGUAGUUGCAUCAAUGUCCACUAAAGAUUUGCUAGAUGUGAAACGAGAGACACGAGAUUCAGCGGCCUCCAUCUUUUCUUGAUUUUGUUGGAAGCUCAAAGAGCUUUGGAGCUUCUUGAUUCCCUCCAACUCCAUUACCACUUCUUUCAUUGUCGGCCGGUUCCUCCCAAUCAAGCUCAAGCACUUUCUUGUGAGGUUAGCAACGGCUGCAAUCUCUUCUUUCUUGCCUUCCUCCAUAAUUCGAGUGUCAAUAAUAUCGAACAAACAUUUUCGCUCCAUUGAAAUUACAAAAAAGGCCGCGAGGCCCUUUUCUUCUUCUUCCCUAAGCCAAGAGAUUGGCAUUUGCCCUGUUAAGAGUUCAGUGAGGACCACUCCAAAGCUGUACACAUCACUUUUGACUGUGAAAUGACUUGUUUUGAAGUACUCUGGAUCCAAGUAUCCAAAAGUCCCUCGCACCAAUGUGGUUACAUGAGUUUGGUCGAGGGAUACGGACUUGGAUGUACCGAAAUCUGCAACUUUAGCAUGAUAUUUCUCAUCCAAAAGGAUGUUGGUGGACUUGAUGUCACGAUGAUAGAUGGGUAUAGAAGCUGCUGAAUGCAAGUAACAUAAGGCUCCAGCGAUUUCGGUUGCAAUUCGUAGGCGUGUGUCCCAUGACAUGAGAAGAUCUUCAUUCAAGUCAUGUAGAUACUUGUACAGAGUCCCAUUUGGUAUGAACUCAUAUACUAAAAGUGGGAUAUCUAUUUCCACGCAACAGCCCAUUAGCUUAACCACAUUCCUAUGAUCAAUUUGCGAGAGAAUGAUGAUCUCAUUGAUGAACUCUUCAACCUUUUCCUUGUCUAUUAGUUUCGAUUUCUUAACCGCGACUAUUUUUCCAUCAGUCAGCAUUCCCUUGUAAACAACCCCUUGUCCACCUUGGCCAAGUAUCCUAUUCUCGUUGAAGCGGUCAGUGGCCUUCUCUAAAUCCUUGAAACUAAAUAAUUUGCUUUUCACAACGUUGCCUUCAGGCGAUGAAGAUAGAUGCCUUUGCAACAAGGUACCCCACUGCGUUUUAAAGUACUUCUUUUUUCGCUUAAUUUCCUUUUUUUUCUUGAUGACUCCGUAUAACCACCGAGAGAGAAGCAACACUUGCGCUGAUCCUCCAACGCCCGCUCCAAGGCCUGCAGUCCGGAAAUUUGGCAGAGGACAGAGUCAUAAAAAGCACCUGCUCUUAAGAAUGUUUACUGUUGUGCUGAAUUAUCCACGAAGGAACAGAGUAAUUUGGAAGCAGGAGAACAAUAGAUCUCACAUUAAGUUAUGGAUAUUCUUUCCAUUGGCCACGUAUAAAUUUCUUCCCAUCAUAGGAGGCUACCAACUAUAUAUGUGAAAAACUUAGAUUAUGCAUAGCUUGAAAAUUGAAUUCAAAACUUCGAUCAAAUCAUGACAUGUAGAAGAAUAGAGGGAUACAUAAAAAAAAAUAAUAAUAAUAAUAAAAAGUGAAUGGACAGUCAAGUUAGAAUGAAUGGUAAGGUAAAACUUACUUAUGUACCUUUUCCGAACAUAAUUUAGGCUAUGCUGUUCUAUUUCUAUCAAUACUCUACAGCAUGAAGCGGCUCAAAUUUCUAAUUUAAAAGUAAAAACGAAUUUGGCUGUCUUUUUAGGGUCGUCGCAGAAAUAGGUACCCAAUUGGUUCACACAAGUCCCCGAGCACAUAUUUGAAUCCUCAUAUUAAGUAAAAUCGAAGGAAGAAGGCCACAAAGACCAAAUUUAUUUUUCUAGGUUCAUCAUACUCAAUUCAAUUCUAUGUUACGACCGUGGUUUUCCAUUUAUAUUUUUAUUCAAUCAAUUUUAGGAAAAAUGUUCGACACGGUAUGUAUUUUGACACUUAACCACUUUGUUUAUUUUGGGCCUUUUCUCUCUCUCUCUCUUAGCAUAUGUCAACCUUCGUAUAUCUUUCAUAAUUUUCUUUUCUUUUCAAAAAAUAGCAAAAAUAACCAAUGGUACUCUCCUAUGUUGACACCUACCCACCGUUAGUAAUUAUUUUUGGCCUUAUAGUUCUUUUUUAGGCCAUGUUCAGCUAUCGCAUUUUUUUUUCUUCAGAAUUUUUUUUCCUAUCAAAAAUUGCAAAUAUAAGCAUUGUCAAUGUUCUUCCCAUGAUUACGUUUUUCAUUCUAUAUGUUCUGUUUAAAAUACAUGGAUUCAUCUGAAAGAAAGUGUCAAUAUGCUAACAAAAAUCGUUGAAAUAAUCUGUCAUGGGACAUUCUACAAACAUAAAACAAUUGCAAAGAAAAAAAAAUGAUGGCCCGUUUUUUAUAUAAAAAGAAUCAUUAAAUAACUAGAAAAAUUCUAAAGAAAAAUAUCCACAUUCGUUUUGAUGUUAUGGAUGAUAUCACACGUGUGUCAUGGUUGAUUUUGUAUAUAAAGGAAAUGAUAAAAUCUCAUGCAAACACUUUAAAAGAAUGGUUUUUUUUUUAAAAAAAAAAAGGUAAUUGACUUUAAAAGAAUGGUUAAUACUUAAAAAAUUAGAAAUUGGUACAUUUGUGACAAAUUUACCAAAAACUAAUUUUUUAACCACAAAAACCCCAAACUUGUAUACCUUGAUAAAUUUACCCCAAAUCGAUACAAUUAUGAUAAAUUUACCCUCUUUAGCUUUUGUUAAAUUUUAAUCUCAAAUUGCAAAGUUUGAUAAUGUAUGACAUUUGACUAAUUUAUCAAUUUUAGAUUUUACUUUUUGUUUAUCACGGUUGUACCAUUUUUGUGGUUUUAUUAAUAUUAAUCCAAUUUAAGGGAAGAUGUAUUUGUCACAAAUAUACCAUUUUGAGGUUUUGAUAGUUGAAUAAAUUAGUUUGGGGUAAAUUUGCCACAUGUGUAUCAGUUUAAGACUUUUUGCAAUCAUUUGUGGUAUAUUUAUCACAUGUGUACCAAUUUAGGGUUUUUUGUGAUCCAAAAAAUAGUUUGAGGUAAAUCCAUCAUAGAUGUAUCAGUUUAUAAUUUUUUUAGGGUAUUAAUCCUUAAAAGAGUUAAGUGUGAGAGAAAGACCCAGAGUCUAUUUUUAAGUGUUAUGAAGUAUAUAUAUAUAAAGUAGUGGGGAGAUAUUUUCUAUGCAUCUUGGCAUAGUAACAAAAAUAUCACCACAUCUCAUGAGCCUUUAAAAAUGUACAUUUAAAUUUUACAUCAUCUUACUCAAACUACUAAAAAAGUAAGGCACAAAAGGUGAGUUUAUGAGGAAAUAGUAGAAGUAUUUAUAAAAAAAAAAAAAACACUUUCAUUAUAGGACAACUGUACAAUAAUAAUAUCCAAUUGAUUUUCUCCCGAUAUACUUACAUUUAUCGAAAGAGAAGACUAUAGAGAGAUUUUUAUUUUUAUUUUUAUUUUUAAUGUCAGACGGAACCAUUUAUUUUUCGCGUGGACCAAACCAUUAUUUGUCUUGACAAUUAAUGGUCAAAACAAAUUCAAGUUAAAAAUUGAGUUAAAGGGAGAAGAGUUAAAAAAUAAAGAAUCAAAUGACUGAAAUUGCAUCAUGCUAUAUAACAUUUUCUAGAUUGGGAGUUUUAUCAUUAGACUCCAUGUUUAAUUUAUUUAGAUGACAGGAUGUAAUAUUCACGAAUCUGGGUGCACCAAAGAUGGAUAGUCCUCGUUCAUAAAAUAUGUGCCCAAAUCAAACAGCAAACUUGAAUUCCGAAGAGCUGUGUACGAACAACAAACAUCCGAUCCACUGAAAAUGCAUCAGGCUAUAUAACUUUUUCUAAAUUGUGGGAUUUAUCACUUACAGACUCCAUGUUGCCUUUCUUGAAAUGAUAGGAUGGGAUAUUCCCGAAUCUGGGUGCACAAAAGAUGGAUAGUCCUUAUUCAUAAACAUGACAGAAUGAAGAAAUUUACUUACGUAUGAGGAAAAACUUGAUCAUAUUGCUUCUUUCGACGCAAUCAUAGGAACCUUGCCGAUUCACACAAUUUCUUCCAGGGCACGGAUCGGUUGGACCUUUGCAUUCAUCCACAUCUGAACAAAAGAUGACAAUCAAAAUUAGUAGAGCCUCGUCUCUUUAUUGGGUGUUUAGGAUCGCAUGUAAAGCUACUUCACCCUCCAAAGAGCUCCUCUUUAUUAGUACAGUAUUUCGAUGUUGUUGCGUUUCCAAUGAUUGGUGUGAUAAUAUGUAACUGGUCUUACCUUCGCAUCCAUAUUUAAUAUAGGGGUUACCGGUGAAUCCCCCACGGCAAGAACACUGCAGAAAUGGCAUCGCCUUGCGAUACACUGAAUUGAAGCUGAAAUUGCUGCACUCAUAGGAAUCGCCAUGUUUGUAAAUCUCUGAGGCAGCUCGGGAGGAUUUAGCUAUCCCCCAUUCUAGCACCGCUGGGAAAUGCCCGCUCGCCUUCAACUUAUUGAAGUCUAUAGGUGAACGUGUGAAUUUCGACCUAUCUCCCAAGAAGGCAUACUCGCAUUGAUUCUUUGCUGGACCCUUUUCGUGAUUGAAAGUGAUGCUGAAAGCCUGAAGAUCCGGGGUAAUCGUGGUGCGGCAGCAUCCAUCGCUGCCCGAACAAGUCAUCUUCCUAACAACCUUGUCAUCUUUGCAGCUAGACUUGCAUCCUAUGAUUGCAGACUUUUGGUCAUCCAAUAGAACACAUAUGUUGCAACCGACGGCGGUCAAGACGUUCCUUGACUCGGAGAAGAUGAAAUGGCUCCCGUUCAAGCUCACAGGCGUAGAGCUUCCAUUUCCCCUGCAUGUCCCAUUCGGCGAGUUGAUCAUUGGAAGACUGACGCUGAUCAUGCCGUUCUUUCUGCCAUAGGAAUCGGGUAGCGAAAUGUUGAGCACCCUCAAGUUGGGCUUCUUCAGCAUUGGGACGGCACUGUAGGUGCUUUCGUCGCAGAAGAUCUCGUACCACUCAUCGAGGAAACACCCGGUACCAAUCCCGAAGGGAAAGGGAAUGGUGACGCCACCACAUGUUGGGGGGCAAUUACCCUUCACCAGGGGAGCUGCUAGCGAGGCUUCUUCAUGAAGC
rnacentral:lncRNA from 1 species